rnacentral:lncRNA from 1 species
AGGAGGUGAAGAGUAGACAUAAUGGGGUGGUGGUGGAGGAGGAGACUUGUAAACGGCAGGAGGUGGUGGAGACUUAUACUUGUAAACCGGAGGUGGUGGGGGUGGAGACUUGUACUUGUAAGGGUGCUUGGGUGGGGAUAGAGGUGGUGGUGGGGGAGACUUGUACUUGUAGGGAUGCUUGGGUGGUGAUGGUGGUGGUGGUGGUGGAGACUUGUACUUGUAAGGAUGCUUUGGAGGUGAUGGUGGUGGUGGUGGAGACUUGUACUUAUAAGGAUGCUUUGGGGGUGAUGGUGGUGGAGGUGGGGACUUGUACUUGUAAGGGUGCUUGGGUGGUGAUGGUGGUGGAGGUGGUGGGGACUUGUACUUGUAAGGGUGCUUGGGUGGUGAUGGCGGUGGAGGUGGUGGAGACUUAUACUUGUAAACUGGAGAUGGUGGGGGUGGAGACUUGUACUUGUAAGGGUGCUUGGGUGGUGAUGGUGGGGGUGGGGGUGGGGGUGGGGACUUGUACUUGUAGGGGUGUUUGGGUGGUGAUGGUGGUGGUGGUGGUGGGGACUUGUACUUGUAAGGAUGCUUGGGUGGUGAUGGUGUUGGAGGUGGAGGAGACUUGUACUUGUAAGGAUGCUUGGGUGGUGAUGGAGGAGGUGGUGGGGACUUAUACUUGUAAACAGGAGUUGGUGGGGGAGGAGAUUUGUACUUGUAAGGCUUCUUGUGUGGUGGUGGUGGUGGUGGAGAGUAGACCGGAGGAGGCGGUGGUGGAGACUUGUAAUGGUAAGGUGGUGGUGGGUACUUCUUAGGAGGUGGUGGAGGAGAAGAAUAAGUGUAAUCUGCUGAGGUUUCAAAAGGCAAAUUGAGAGACACUGCUAAAACUAAAAGAGUGAGAAAGAGAGAGGUCAUUGAUGACCCCAUUUUCCCCAUACUUCUAAAAAUGGGUUUAAUUUGGUUAUGCUCUUAGCAACCCUCUUCACUCCCUUUAUAUAGACUUUUUUUUUAACCUUAUAAUCAUGAUAAAAGUUUGAAGAUGGACCGAACCUUCAGCAGCAUGUAAAAAAGACAUUACGUUUAGGUUAUUAGCAUGGUAUGAUAUAAUAAUUCUCUAUUCUCUUCCUUGUCGUUUCCCAUAAAUUCAAUUUUCUCUAUUAAAUAUUUAUCAAAUUCAUUUCUCACUCCCUAUUAAUUCUUUAAUAAGUUUAUAGAAUAUGAAUAAUUAAUCAUUAAACUCGAUUUAAUAAAUACUUUAAACAAUUAAUAAUUUAUCUUAUUUUAUGCUUUAAUUAAGGCAUCAAAUCAUAAUCCUAUUUUAUAUUUUGAAAAUUUAUCAUUUUUUAAAGAACUUAAUUGAUUAAAAUGUGAUUCUAAUAUUUGGCAGGAAAAAUUAGUUUACUUUCCUUAGAAUGUAAUAUUCUUUUGAGAGUUAUUUUCUUACUAAUAAUAGAAAGUGAUAAUUCGUGAGAAAAUUACUUUCACAUGUAAAUAAAAAUUAUUAGAACAAAAAAUUAACUUUCUUUUAUUUAUGUUUAGGUACUAAUUAACUUAUUGAGAUAAAGAUAGUUGUAGCUUGCUUUUUCAUGUCAUUUUCUUAUCUUUACAACUUCAAACCAUUAUUCUAGAGUAAGUUUUUUUUUUUUUUUCUAAAUAGUAGAUAAAUAUCUAUAUUUUAUUUUGCUAUAAGAAAAUUAUAUUUUUUAGCAUACAAAACUUAAAGACAACUUGUAGAAUCAAGUAAUUCUAUGAAAAGCAAGCCUAUUCACAUAUAAUACCUAUUACUCUAGCAAUAAUAAUAUUGACAUUGUCUAAAUUUUCUAAUAAAAAAAUUAUAUAAUUUGUAUGUGUUAAAAAUGAAAAAUAUGGCGGUUAUUAAAAAAGAUUUCAUACAUCUAAAUGAAACUACUAAUUUAAAAAUUAGUAUUGAGAUAAUUUCAAGUUAAUAUUGAAUAUACUUGAAUUUGUACAUACAAAGUAAUGAGGGUAAAAAUUUUGUAAAUUGUACAUCUUCACAAUCUUGAGUUAAUAUACAAUUUUUUAAUGUAUUAAUAUAAUGUUUUAGAUCAAGAUGUGAAAAAACAUAACUCAAAUAUUUGUUAAUAAUAAAAAAUUAUUAAUAAAUAUUUAAUUCAAAAUUUAUUAAUAAUAAAAAUUAUUGAAAAAUAUUAAAUACGUUAAUAUUAUUUUUAUAUAAUAAUGAUAAUUUUGUACAGUAAUCUUAUAUUCUCAAUAAGUGUUAAAUGUCUCAAGAUUUUAAUUAAUACUUUUCAGUGGUUACCAAACAUUGUGAAAUAACUUCUUGAACAAUGAUAUUCUUAUCAAUCACAUUCCAUUAGAAAUUUAACAUAGGAAAGCACCAAAACAACCGCUUAAAAAUGAAUGUGCAUGAUUAAAAUCGCGAUAAGUCUUGUUUAUCUAAAAUUUAAAUAUUCAUUUUAUUAUUUAAAAUAUAUUAAUUUUCCAAAAACAAUCAUUAAUAUUUAUAUUUCUAAUUUUAAACAUUCUUUUGUUAAUUAAAUGAUAGUGUAAACGGUUAAACUCAAAUCGAAAGCAUUUUAUCUUAUAGUAGAUUAUAUGACUCAUAUUAUGGUUGAAAGUAAAAUGUAUAAAAUCAAUACAAACAUCAAAUAUUAAACUUGCACUCAAUAGAUUUUAAAAUUUCUAAUUUUACCACUAAUCUAUUUUAAGAUUUUUAAAAAAUCGUACUUUAGAUUAUCUAAUUUAAAUUUUAAAAUUAUUAAAAAUAAAAAAAUUCUUAAUAAAAAAAUUUGUUUCAAAUUUUUAACCUUUUAAUAUAAUUGUUUUAACUGGUUAUCUAAACUAAAUAAAAACUUAUUUAGUAUAAAAAAAAGUGGUAAAUGUGAAAGGAGCACAAAUCACAACUACAAUAUGCUACAUUAGUUUUAUAAUUGGAUUAAUUUAAUCACCGGCAGAGGAAAUGUGUUAGUUCUAGCUACCACCAAUUUAUUUUAAUUCCUUUAAAAAUAUUAGAAAAAAUCAAUUUGAUUUUUAAUAAUAGAUCUAAUUACUUAAAGGAACAUCGGUGAUGUCCACAUGGCAUACAAGGUUAAGCAUAUAAAAAAAGAACAAAAAGAUUAAGUAUCUUUGCAAGAUAGCUUUCUGAAAUAAAUAAAACUUAAAUAAAAACAAUUUUAUUAUCAAAAUAAAAAGAAAAAAGAAAAGAAAUACUAGUGUUUUUAAUUAAAAUAGAGUGAUCUGGGUAGAAUCUUUUACUUAAAUACUGACAUUGACUUUAUAAGCUAUUUUUUAUCAAAAGAAGAAAGAGAAAAGCAUCCGAUUGAAGAUGUGAAUUAUUAAAUUAAAAUUAAUCAUACAUGUAAAAUUUUAUUGUGCUUUUUUCUAGCCCUCCGAAUGACAUUAUGCUUUGAUUACAACAUUCUUGCUCAGAGAUCGGGUUUGAAGAUGAACUCGGAUGCAUUUAGAUUUUUACAAGUAAAUUAAAGGAUGUUAGAACUUGUAUUCCGAUAAACUUAUAAUACAGAAAGCAAGUAAUAUGUGACUGUACAUAAUGGCUAUGAGGCGAGGAUAUGAUAUGAGAAGAUAGAGAUGAGAGAUUGCACUUAAGGGGUUAACACCACUUUCCUUUUUGUGUUUGGUCCCCAAAGCAUCUCUUAUUGGCUGAUGUUGCAAGGCCGUCCCAUAAGUUGGUCUAAAAGUGCUUGAUAGCUAGAAUUAAUAUUGUGGUAUAACAUAUGUCACCACUAGGUUUGAAUAAGGUUACACAGUGAUUUGAUGAAGAUUUAAAAAAGCAUAGAGAUAAUUAUGUUGCAAAUAUUGUAAAAGUAAGAGCUAAAUUGUUUGGCUUUAUUAGAGUUUAGACUCUGUUAGUCUAUUACCAUUCUCUAUUAGUCUGUUACCAUUUUGUUAUAUAGGCUGUAAUAUUGUUAGAAAGCAGUUAGCAGCUGUUAGUCAUAGUAGUUAGUCAUACAAAUAUAAAUUCUAUUCAUGUAUUGUUCAAAGGUAAGCUAAUAAUAUCAGAAGCGAUUUAAUGUAUUCAUUCUACUUUUUUUUUAUUCUUCAUAAUACAGUUGUUAACAUGGUAUCAGUACCCUAAUUUCUUAGAGGUCGCUUCUAUUGUAGAUCCAUGGCCAAUUCCACUGAUUCUACCUCCACUGGUCGUAGCAGUCCCUCGUUCUCGAUUCAUGUUUGGUUCAAUCGUUUCCUCGUCGUCACACUGAGAAGUUAGAUGAAAGAAAUGUUAUGCAAUGCCAACAGCAUAUCCUAUUGAUAAUUGAAGGGUAUGAACUCAUAAGAUUUUUAGAAGGGACGUUACCUACUCCGCCUCGCUUUGUGUCAUCUCCCGAUGGAACCUUGGCUUCGGCUCCCGAUGCAUUCCUGUUUGUUCAGCAAGAUAAGUUACUCGCUCUUUGGUUGCUUUCUACGAUUAGUGCUCCUUUGUUGUCCUCUUUUAUAGCUGCUAAGACACCGUGUGAGGUUUGGAGCACUGUGAAUCACCUCUUUACUGUUUCCACCAGAGCGAAGUUAUCGCGUAUUAAGCAUGAACUCCACUCCAUCAAGAAAGGCAUGAUGACUGUCAAAGAGUAUAUUAUUAAGAUUCAAAAUACCUGCACCUUACUCGAGGCAUCUGGAUUGGUGGUUUCGAAGGCCGAGAAGGUAGAGAUCAUUCUUGCUGGCCUAUCGUCAGAUUAUGAUGUCGUUUUAACACUACCAUAGUUCUCUUCUGAAACUCUUCCGUUACAGAAGAUAGUUGUUGUGCUACUGAAGUUCGAAAGCCGUCAGACUCAUGUCGUGAAUGACAUACCUUUUCAUGCUCAUCUGGUAGAGGCCACUUCGGCGACAUCGGUGGAGGACUCCGUACAUGGUAGCCAUCCUCCUCCUGGUGCUCGUGGGCAUGACUUUCGACUCGGCUUCAGUUCCAGAUCUAUGGUUGCUAUGGACAUCUGGCACAACGCUGUUAUUAUCAUUUCAACCGCGAAUACAGUGGUCUAUCUGCUCUGACCAUGGCGCAGGCUUCGCUUUUGUGCUGGGCACUAUUCGUGUGACAAUGUUUUUGGUGCAACUGGUCUCUUGACCGGCUGGUUUCCAUCAGCUCAUCCUAGUUCAAACCCCUUCGAUGUGCCUGGACAGUGUGCCGAUUCUUCGGUGACGGUACCGGCGCAUUUCCCUUAUGGCUCCUCUUGGGGAGGAUGGCCACAUUUGUAAAACAAUGCCUCCCUUGUGCCAAGUCUACCGAAUGUUAGGGUUUCUAACCUUUUUGCUCCUAAUUUUAACAAUGAGGCAAGCUAAGUGUUUGGGCCCGCUGUUGAACCAGGCUCAAAUAGUGACCAAUCUGGUGGUCCUCACUUGCCGCUGAAGAUGGGCUAACGCAUUGGGCCAUUCGCUGGUGUUCCUAGGCCAACUGCUUCAGGCCAAGAUUUUGGCCUAAAUGGAAUUGGUAGGCCAGCCAGUGCUCGUCCUAGCAUUGGAUAGGGUUCACUUGGGUCAAAUGUCAAUUUUAUUGGACUUGAGGGUUCUUUUGGGUAUAGACAAGAGUUUGGGCCCACCACUGGCAAUGUUUCAGUGCCAAUUAAUAGAUCAUGUGUUCCAUGGCACACAAAAUCGAGGGCACGCGUUAUUGAUUUUGAUUCUUCGCUGUGCGUUGGGUUGCAUCGCUUUACUAAUUUUCACGCAUCCGAUUUUUUUACUACCACUGGGUCUAAUGCCAAUACAACUCCAUAUAGGUCUAAUUUUGAUAAUGGUAAUUCUUACAUUCCUAUGCCUAUAGGGACCUCAUCAUGGUGUCUUGAUUUAGGGGCUACGCAUCAUGUCUGUUGAGAAGUCUCUGCCUUGAAUAAGUCUACGCCAUACUCAAGUACAUCUCCUUUCUUCACGGAUGAUGGUAUUCCUACAAAAAUAUCGUAUGUUCGGAAUCUUAUCUUGUCUAUGAAAACCAAAUUGCUUCAUUUGUCUAAUGUUUUGUGUGUGCCAAAUAUACGGAAGAAUUUGCUAUUUGUUUCUCAGUUUGCUAAUGACAAUAACGUGUUCUUUAAAUAUCACCUGUCUUAUUGUGUUAUUAAAGACAUCCAGACUCAUGAAAUUUUACUACGGGGCUACACUCGUGAUGGGCUCUAUUAUUUUUCGUCGGUUACUCUUGCUCUGUUUGUCGUUGUUCCUUUUUUCAUAGCACUGGGAUCUAGAGUCGCAAUGCAUAUGAUGAUUGUUUUGCAUUAUGGCAUCACAGGCAUAGUCAUUUGUCUGCCUCGAUUGUUAAACUUGUUCUCGAUAAGUGUCAAGUUGUUUCAAAAUAAAAUGUGCCUUGAAAAUAUUUGUAUUGCAUGUCAAAACGGGAAGUCUCACAAACUGCCUUUUUCAAGUUCUACUACUGAAUAUACAAAUUUGUUUGAUUUGGUUGUCUCUAACUUAUGGGGACCAACGUCUGUUGUCUGUAGAAAUAAUUUAUAUUAUGUUUUGUUUAUCGAGAUGUGUAGUUGAUAAACCGUAAUUUAUACAUAUUUUUAUCCUAUGUUUGGCACAUUUAUAGAUGAUUUAUCCUUAGAUUUGGUGAAUUCGAUGCUCCUAAUCCUUUAAUUUCAUAUUUUAUACUUAGGAGAGCAUAGGAGGGCAAAAAGAGCGAGAAACGGGCCGAAAACGGAAAAAAUAGACCCACAUGGGAAAUCAACAUGGCCUGGACUUCCUCACACUGGUAAGCCACACGGCCGUGUCCAUUUGGCAGGAUCGAAGCAAGACUUACACGAGUAGACUACACGCCCGUGCCUUUUUAAUAGCCUUGACCACUGUCUGGAGCAAUCGCGCACGGGCAUGUCCCUGUCGAGCCCAAGUAUAGUCUUAUUCGGAAAAGGUCUAUUUUAAGGGCUCUUAGGCAUUCUAAAGCUUAUUUAAUCACCUGAGAAGGCACUUAAAAGGGGGGACACGGAGUAGGAAGCAAGGAAUUACUCGAAGAAAGCCGAUUGAUCCAUCUCAGAAGCCUGAUUAUUCAUCAAGACUGAAAAUCUCCCUUCAAUUACCAUUCAGGAGUUUUGGGUUUUCUUUAUGUUUUGUAUUCAUUAUUCUUCUGAGAUGUUUUCUUUUAUAAUUAUGAUUUAAACCCUCUAAAUACCUAAGGGGAAUGAAACCUAAACGGAUCUUGUUAUUAUUAUCUGAAUUAUAUGAUAAAUAUUUGACUUGUUUUUAAUUAUAUGUUCUUAAUUCUUGUCUUAAUAUUCCAGGAUAUUGAUUCAAGUUAAUGCGCUUAUUCAGAGGAGCAAAAGUCCCUGUCUAAGAGUAAAUUUGUCAUAAUUAAACAGAGUUGAUUGCACACCUAAAGAUAGGGUAACAAGAUUUUGCCGAAUUAGGGUGAAACCUAAUAAGGAGAUCCAUAGAUCGAGUUAAUGCAACACUAGGGCGUUAAAUAGAAAGAGAUUUCAAUUAAUCAACCUAGGGUUAGAUGUUAUUAGUCUUGAGAGAGAUAAUAAUAUAACUUAGGGAUUUGUACGGAUCAUGUCAAAUGGAUAAAUCGACUGAUUCAGAGUCAAAUAACAAGUGAAGUCUAGGUGGAUUUUUCCUUGGGUAUUGUCCUAAUCAAGCGAAUUUUCUAAAAGUAUUUUCCCCAAUUUUUCAAGCGAAUUUUCUAAAAGUAUUUUCCCCAAUUUUCUUUCUCUGCACCCUUAGUUUAGUUAAUUAGUUUUAAUAAACAAAUCCUUUAAUUUUUAGGUUAGAUAAUAAAAAGAAAGUGAUUACUAGUACUCUUGGUUCCUUUGGGUUCGACAAUUCGGUCUUGCUAAAGCUAUAUUACUGUUCGAUAGGUACACUUGUCUUUAUCGUGAUAAUAGUUGGUUUCAAUAACGAUCAUUUCUAAAUUAUUUAAAACUUAUCGCAAGUAUCAUGAAUCAAGUUUUUGGCGCCGUUUCCGGGGAACUAAGAUAUUAGGAACACUUGAUUUUUAUUACUUUAGCCAUUUUUCUUUAUUUUUACUUUAAAUUUUUAUUUUCUUUUCUAAUUUUUCUUUUAUUUGUUCCUGACAGGUUUUUAUAGUUUAUGAUUAGAAGAAACCCGUCGGGACCAUUACUGUUUGAUAGUGAGAUCGAUCGCACAGUUCACAGAAACCAAAGAAAAAUAAGACGAAGCUUAAGAUACAAAAAGGAAGAGUAAGACGACGAUACUUCAACCACAAUCGAGAAGAUGGCUGAAAACCAGGAAAAUUUGCUACCUCCUGUGAUUUCUGCUGAUCCAGUAAAUCAGAAUCCUACUCCACGCACUAAGUAUGAUUAUGCUAAACCUACUUUAACAGGAACUGAGUCAAGUAUAGUUAGGCCUGCUAUUGCUGCGAAUAAUUUUGAACUGAAACCUAACACAAUUGAAAUGAUACAGCAAUUUGUUCAGUUUGAUGGUUUGCAGGAUGAGGAUCCAAACAACCACUUGGAAAAUUUUCUAGAGUUUUGCGAUACAUUUAAAAUCAAUGGCGUUUCUACUGAUGCCAUUCGCCUUCAGUUAUUCCCUUUUUCAUUGAGGAACAAAGCUAAACAGUGGUUGAACUCGUUACCACAAGGGUCAAUCACUGCUUGGGAACAAAUGACCGAAAAAUUUUUAUUAAAAUAUUUUUCGUCGACUAAAACAGCCAAAUUACGUAAUGAUAUCUCUUCAUUUAUGCAAAUGAAUAUAGAAACACUCUAUGAUGCAUGGGAGAGAUACAAGGACCUUUUAAGAAGAUGUCCUCACCAUGGGUUACCACUCUGGCUACAGGUUCAAACGUUUCACAAUGGCCUGAAUCCUUCGACUAGACAGAUGAUUGACGCAGCUGUUGGAGGAACUAUCAAUAAUAAGACACCUGAGGAUGCUUAUGAAUUUAUAGAAGAGAUGUCACUAAAUAAUUAUCAAUAGCAAGUCAUGAGGACAAAACCGAUGAAAGCAACCGGGGUUUUUAAUGUUGAUUCGGUCACCAUACUUUCUAAUCAGGUAGAACUUUUGAAUAGAAAAAUUAACAGUUUUUUUGGUUCUUCACAGGUUCACCCAGUAAUGCAAUGCAAUGCAAGUGGGGGAGAAUUGAGCAAUUCAGAAUGCCCACCCUAUGGCCACAACAUGAAAAACAAGCAAUUAAAUUAUAUGGAUAAUAAUCCUCGACCUCAAAAUAAUCCUUAUAGUAACACUUACAAUACAGGAUGGAGGAACCACCCAAAUUUCUCAUGGGGAGGCCAAGGGAAUCAGAGACCACCACCAUUUCCAGGUUUCUAACAGCAACCUUACCAGCAAAAUAAAAAUUUGAACCUUGAGGAAAUGCUAACAAAAUUCAUCUUGGUGUCAGAAACUCGUUUCCAGAAUACCGAGACAGCACUUAAAAAUCAACAAGCGUCGAUCCAAGGGCUCGAAACUCAGAUAGGCCAGCUCGCUAAAUUGAUAUCUGAAUGAACACAAGGUAGCCUACUGAGUAACACUGAAUCUAACCCAAGGGAGCAACUCAAUGCGAUUGCCAUUCAAGAUGAGGAAGGGUUAGUUACAUCUAAACCAGAACCGAGGCAAGAAACUGUGGUAAGUAAAGGUAAAGGUAAGGUAAACCACAUCGAGCAGAAACCGGUAAGUAAAGAGUACAAACCACGAGUGUCAUACCCAAAUGCGACAAAGAAAGACCAUACAGAUGAACAAUUUUGUAAACUCCUUAAACUAUUAAAGAAAUUACACAUUAACUUACCGUUUAUUGAAGCCCUUUCGUAGAUGCCGAACGCAGUCAAGUUUUUAAAGGAGCUUUUAGGAAACAAGUGAAAGUUGGAUGAAGCGUCGCAUGUGGAGUUGAACGUAGCUUGCUCAGCUAUUCUACAAAAUAAGCUACCCAACAAAUUAAAAGAUCCAGAGAGUUUUACAAUUCCUUGCUUAAUUGGUAGCUUAGAUGUUAAUAAUACUUUGGCUGAUUUAGGGGCUAGCAUCAAUGUCAUGCCUUACAAAAUGUUUAAGUAACUAGGUCUUGAGAAACCCAAACAAACUAAGAUGAGUAUUCAAUUAACCGAUGAAACAAUUAGAUUUCCUAGGGUUAUUAUUGAAGAUGUACUCAUUAAAAUUGACAAAUUUAUAUUCCCAGUUGAUUUCGUUGUUCUAGACAUAGAGGAGGAUAGUAACGUUCCUUUAAUUUUAGGGAGCCCUUUUUAGCAACUGUUAGAACAAUAAUUGAUGUUGGCACAGGUGAACUCACACUUCGUGUGGGAGACGAAACAAUCACCCUUUAAGCUCGUAAUUCAAGUAACACAUCAAAAAUUGAAGGUGGUUGUAUAAAUCAUACUAUUAAAACUGAUCAUUUGGUGAAACCUUCCUGGCAGGAAACACGUUCAAAGAACACACCUGAGCCAUGUUCGAGUAACGACAAAAGACCUAUCUAUGAAGAAUGAAGGCUACAACUUGAGGAACUAGAUGAAUAGCUGACACAUAAACCGAGGACACACGAUAAACCAAAACCAUGCCAUGACGAGCUCAAUAUUUCACCAAAUCAACUUAAGGUUGGAGACAAAGUACUACUAGAUGCGGUAGACCCUCGUAUUGCUACGUCUGAACCUAACGGAGCAAUCCCUCUUACAGUACUCAACAUUUUCCCAUAUGGUACAGUCGAGGUUAUUCAUCCCAAACUCGGCACUUUUAAGGUAAACAGUACUCGUCUUAAACCUUAUUUUGAUAAAAUUGAUAGCAGGGAUGAGGAGUGUGAACUCCUCACAUCACAAUGACCAUGCAACAGAAAGGUAAGUCGAGCUUAGACUAUAAAUAAGCGUUUUUCGGGAGGCAACCCGAGCAUUAAUGAUGUUAACUUUUUUAAAAUUUUAGUUUUUUACAUCUAAUCACUAACUGAGUCAGUGAAACACAGGUUUUCUAAUCUACACGGCCAAGCACACGGACAUGCCUUAGGCCGUGCUCACACCAUGGGAGGAGACACAGCCGUGCGAUACUGCCGUGUGAAAACAGGGUAAAAUUUUUCCUUAACACGGGAUGUGAUAAGUUGCCACGGCCGUGCGAUGUAGCCGUGGGCGAGUCUUUCAAACCAACACAGGCGUGUGACACACCCGUGUCUAUAAACCAUGGUUGAAACUGAGAAUUUAGCACGAGCAUGUCCUAUCAACCGUGCUCAAGACUGAAAAAAGAACACGGGCGUGGACAUCUAUACACGGGCAUUGGAGAAGAGAAUGAAACAGAACAUGGUCGUGUGACACAGACGUGUGCACCAACACGCCCAAAGAGCACGGGCGUGUGAAGAAUUUCAGACACGCCCAAAUUUGAAAAUUACGAUAAACACGAGCUGAAAUAAGGGCACAUGGGGGUGCCCCACGACCGUGUGCCCCAAAAUCUAUAUAAACCCCUUACUAUUCAUCACCCCCUUCCCCAAAAUCUCUAACCCUAGCCGCUGCAACUUCACAUGCCCUACCUGCCACGCCCGUGCACCGUCCACAGCACCACCUUUGACAACCCAAAGCUCCUCCCUCUUACGUUUGUACAUUUUUUUCCUUCUAUUCUCUUCAUUCUUUUACUUAUUUGAUGAUAUUUUAUUUUAUUUUGAGUAAAUAAUCAUAGUUAUAAUGAUAGAAUACUUAUGCUCUUUGUUAAGAAAUUUACCAUUUUAAUUGAUAUAUUUUGCUGCAUUUAUCCACUUUUCUUGUUUCCAUAGAUUUCAUGCUUACCCACACCAUAUUUCAUACUUAUUAAACCCACAUGCAUUCAUUCAAUAGAUAUUUCCAUUAGCAUUACUCUCGUAGUCCUAUUCAUAGUAAUGACUUAAUAUAUCUGAUUGGGUUAUUUUUAGUAUAGUUGUUCUUUAGUACAUGACUUCUAUGAAGUAUCUCUAUUAGUUUUACCAUGCAUAUUUUCUAUGCUAUUGCUGGGGAGUAAUUUUAUUUUUUAUUUUUUCUUGCCAUUGUAGGUAUACUAUCUCAACCUUACGUGGUAAGGAGACCGCCAUCCCCUCUUCGAAGAAAAGGAAAGGAGCAACGUCAUCCUCAGGUCCUACCGCUGAGAUCCGUUACCCUUUCCUCCAGUUUCCCUUUGGACCCCAGGAGGAACUAUUUCAGAUAUUACGGGUCCGACCCUUAGGUGUAGGCCACUGCAUUGACUGGGCUGCACUUAAAAAAAUUCAAAUGGCUGACGUGGUCCAAGCCCUCCUGACGACUACCCGUGGAGGCUUUUCUUUGAGAUCAUCGAGCCGAUGUACCACGAGCUCACAAUGGAACUCUACUCGACCUUCCAUCUUCAAGUCGCCAUGAUAAACUGCGACGAUCCUAGAACGGUCCAAUUCCACCUCAGUGGUCUAGUGCGCCAGUUGAGCGUACCGAAGUUCAGAAUUGCACUAGGGCUGUAUAUGGAAGAGUUCAUGGAUGACAACGAACUUGACACCCUCUAUUGCCACAUCCACUACUCUCUCUCCAAAUGCUGGAAGGACUUUGUCCCUGCCUCGGCCACCUAUGAUCCUAACUACUCUAAGGCAUCAGCCCUCACCCCAUCCCUGUGAUACCUACACGCCAUCUUAGCCCACACUCUGACAGGGCGGCGAGAGAGCACCGGCAUCAUCAACACUCACGACGCCUACUUUUUAUAGAGCAUGGCAAACGGGCACGUCUUCGACCUUGCCUAUUUCAUUGCUCUCGCCAUCCGCCAUCAGACGGAGCGGCAUAGGAGAGGAGUUAUCACCAUUAGCCACUAUGUGACUCGACUGGCACGGCACUUCGGGCUCCUCAACACAGCAGCAUAAUCAUCCUCACUCACUCUCAUUGGUCAUAUGUCCCCUCAAGGCAUCUCGAGUAUGCUACAUAUGAGGAUGCUCGAGAAACGACGUGGAACUUACCCUCCUCAGUACCGCCUCGUCCAGUCCACUAAAGAGGAGAACCCAUAAGACAUUACUGAUGAUGUCCCUCCACGUCAUGAGGACCCACCGUCUCAACCAUCACCCAUCCAUCGUCCAGUUCAUGCGGUGGCUUCAUACUCUGAUAUCUCUAAGCACCUUACUCGAUUUAAGCAGCAGUGUUUUCAGUGCUUUGAUCACAUUGAUGCUACUCUUCAUCAGAUUUGUCAGCACCUUCACAUCUCAUCGCCACCACCACCUCGCGAACCAUCCGGCGAUGCUGAUGUUUAAAGACUUUUUAUUUUUUAUUUUUAUUUCCACUUUUAUCUUUAUUUAUCUUCUUUAAGUAGUUUUUAUUUUAUUUUCCUUUAAUAUUAUUUCAAUUUUAGGUUUUAUAAUUUUUAUUGAAUAAUUUAUAGUUUUGGCUAUUUUAUUACGAGUAAUUAUGCUUCCUUAUAUUUCCUAAAGAGUUCUUGAUUUUAUCACAGUUAUAAAGAGCUCUAAAGCUCAUCAUCACUUAGGAACUAAAAAAUCACUGGAAAAGGUUCUCCACAACUGUCAAGUCCUGCUCGACCACGACCACAGCUACUACCAGAUAUAAUAUUCUGUUGGCGCAGGACUUAUGGACUAAUGAACCUCUACCACCACCGGAGUAUCCUCCUCCACUCUCAUCAUUGCCUUGGCUGAUUAUUCUCCAUAACUCCAAUUGAAGGAGUUCAUUCAUCAUUCAGGAAGUUUAACUUCUCUUCUUAUCUUAUGAGUAUUUAUCUAUAUUUUUCAGUAUAUCUAUCUUUGUACAUUGAGGGCAAUAUACAUCUUAAGUGUAGAGGGUCUUUUAUAUCAUUAUCAGAAAAAUCCCUGAAUUUUAUCUUGUUCUCAAAUCAUCUUCUCAUAUCAUUAUUAGAAUAAAAUUUGAUUAAUUUAUGAUUGUUAUUGAUAUGUCUUCAAUUAAAACAUAGGCAUUCAUGUAUUGAUUGUUUAAACUUUAAGGAAUUAGAUAAUCAAGCAGGAUAAGUUGAUUUUUGAGAAUUAAAAAUUUUUAGGUUGUUUCCCCAAGUUUAGGUAUUAUCUCGAGUUAAAAUUCACAGGGUUAACAUCAACAAGCCAUAAUUUCUGUAAGAUCUUGAGCCUUUAGAGCAACUAUUAUUUCUUUCAUGCUCACUGUUAUUAUUGAUAAUGAGUGUGUCAAUAUUGAUUUAUUAUUCUAGAACUUGCUUGAUUAUGCAUGUCAAGACCACACCCUUGAGUUAAUAUGUCAAUAUGAUAAAGGCACCUAGGUUUAACCCACUCACUCCAUAAAAGCAUACCUUCAUAAUUUACCCUUAGUGAACCCCUUUGAGCCUAACAAGCCAUUAAUUGAUUUACCCUCAAUGUUAACCCAUAACACAUUAUUGUUGAAAUCCCCUAAUUUGAUCCCUAUUUUUGUCGAGAUUUGAUUUGAAUUAUUGCAUAGCUAUGUUUUAUUCUUCGUUGCAAUAAUUAGCAAAGUCCUAUGUUAUUUCACUUGUUUAUUUCACUUGUUCCUAAAAAAAAAUACAAUACUUACUUACAUAUUAAUAGUAAUUCGUCAUUUUUGAGCUUAAGUGUUAAUUCCAUAUUCUAAGAAGAAGCUCACUCGUAUUCAACUUAUAAUUAGUUGUUUUUCUAGUUAGGUGAUUUUUUUAAUUCAAUCUCGAUUCUAACCUUUCCUUUUAGCUUGUGACCACACCCCCUAACCAAAGCCACGUUACAACCCUCUAAAGACCUUUUGAUUGAUGUAUCAUCUCAAUAUAUAGUGGUGGAGAUUUGAUUUUCUGCAAGCCUAUGGUAAUAACUUUUCAUAUUGACUAAUGAGUGCUUCAUUUAUUAUCCUUAAACACCUCGAGUGAUUUGAGUGAAUCUUUAGUGAGGAUGUUAAACUCCGUGAUAUUUUGAAUCAAAGGUAAUCACUUAGAUGAGGGGAGACACCUAUGUUUUCGUGAUGAAAUGCUCAACUUGGAAUGUUUGAAACUUUGAUAUUCUUCUAGUUGAAUUCUCCAUGUAUGAUUACUUAUGAUUUAUUUUAAGAUAUUAUUGAUAGAGAUUAUAGAUUGAGAAGAAUUUAUUUUGAUUGUGAGUUGAGGAUUUUGCUUGAGGACAAGCAAACGCUUAAGUGUGAGAGUUUUUGAUAAACCGCAAUUUAUACAUAUUUUUAUCCCAUGCUUAGCACAUUUAUAUAUGAUUUCUCCUUAGAUUUGGUGAAUUUGAUGCACCAAAUCCUUUAAUUUCAUGUUUUAUACUUAGGUGACCAUAGCAGAGUAAAAAGAGCGAGAAACAGGUCGACAACGGAGAAAAAUAGACCCACAUGGGAAAUCGACACGGCCUGGACUUCCUCACACGGGUAAGCCACACGGCCAUGUCCAUUUGGCAGGAUCGGCGUACAAUUUACACAGGUAGACUACAUGCCCACGAUUAUUUAGCAACCUUCACCACGGUUUGGAGCAAUCGCACACGGGCGUGUCACACAGGCGUGUCCCUGUCGAGCCCAAGUAAAGUCCUAUUCGAAAAAGGCCACUUUUGAUGGCUCUUAGGCAUUCUAAAGCCUAUUUAAACACCUGAGGAGGCAGUUAGAACGGGGGGACACAGAGUAGGAAGCAAUGAAUUACUCGAAAAAAGCCGAUUGAUCCAUCUCAGAAGCUGGAUUAUUCAUCAAGACUGAAGAUCUCUCUUCAAUUUCCAUUCAAGAGUUUUGGGUUUUCUUUAUGUUUUGUAUUCAUUAUUCUUCUAAGGGGAAUGAAACUUAAGACGAAUCUUGUUAUUAUUAUCUAAAUUAUAAGAUAAAUAUUUGACUUGUUCUUAAUUAUGUAUUCUUAAUUCUUGUCUUAAUAUUUCAGGAUAUUGAUUCAGGUUAAUGCGCUUAUUCAGAGGAGCAAAAGUCCCUGUCUAAGAGUAAAUUUGUCAUAAUUAAGUGGAGUUGAUUGCACGCCUAGAGAUAGGGUGACAAGAUUUUACCAGAUUAUGGUGAAACCUAAUAAGGGAUCCAUAGAUCGAGUAAAUGCAACACUAGGGCGUUAAUUACAAAGAGAUUUCAAUUAAUCAACCUAGGGUUAGAUGUUAUUAGUCUCGAGAGAGAUAAUAAUAUAACUUAGGGAUUUCUACGAAUCAAGUUAAAUGAACAAAUCGCCUGAUUCAGAGUCAAAUAACAAGUGAAUCUAGGUGGAUUUUUCCUUGGGUAUUGUCUUUAUUAAUCGAAUUUUCUAAAAAGUAUUUUCCCAAUUUUUAGGCUAGAUAAUAAAAAGAAAGUAAUUACUAGUACUCUUGGUUCCUUUGGGUUCGACAAUUCGGUCUUGUUAAAGCUAUACUACUGUUCGAUAGGUACACUUGCCUUCAUCGUGAUAAUAGUUGGUUUUAAGAACGAUCAUUUAUAAAUUAUUUAAAACUUAUCGCAAAUAUCAUAAAUCAGUAGUCGUUUUACAUGGAUUUAUCUCAUUAAAUGAAUGUCUCAGAUGGUUGACUAUUUUUUUCAGUUUCAAAAAAUGGUCAAAACUCAGUUUGGGAAAGAUAUUAAAAAUUUUCAAAGUGAUUGGGGUGGUGAGUUUCGUGCCUUCGCAUCAACUCUUGCUAUUCAUGGGAUACUUCAUCACCUCUCCCGUCCACAUACAUCCGAGCAGAACGGUAUAGCCAAACCAAAACAUCAAGACAUUGUUGAGAUAGGUCUUACUCUCUUGACCCAAGCUAAUAUGCCCAUGGAUUUCUGGGGUUACGUGUUUUGCAGUGUCGUUUAUCUCAUUAAUCGUCCACCUACCUUGGUUUUGAAAGGUCAAUCUCCGUAUUAAGUUCUUCAUGGUAGUGACCCUACAUAUGAUCAUUUACGGGUGUUUGGGUGUUAUUUCUUUCCAUACUUGCGUCUGUUUCUGCAACAGAACUUGGAUUUUUGUUCUCAGCCUUGCACAUUUUUAGGGUAUAGUUCUCAACAUAAAGGCUAUCACUGCCUCACACCAGAUGGUAAGGCCAUUGUCUCUUAUCAUGUUGUGUUUGAUGAACGUCGAUUUCUCUUUUUUUUUAUGUUGCAAACACCGUCCAGUCAGGUCCAUGUAUCUCUACAUAUGUUCCUAUUGCUCAGUCUUCAUCUGCCGCGCCACGGCAUCCUCGCUUGUUCAGCCCAUUAAGUCCUCUUGACUCUUACUCCUAAUUGUAGUUCCAAGACGUCUAUUUCAGUUGACUCUCCGACUGAAUUGGGUUCUACUCAUGAGGUGCACCGGCUCUUCACCUCAUCUCCUGAAUCACGUCAAUGCGACUCUACUACAAUUCCCUCGGUUAUUCCAUCUAUUUUUCUAGAGAAUACUCAUAACAUGAUUACUCGGUCUAAGGCUAGUAUUUCUAAACCCAAAGCUUUCUCUGUUGAAACUGUCGACUAUGAGCCACACACGAUUGAUGAGGCACUCGCUAGUAAGGAAUGGCAAUUAGUUGUCCAAGCUGAGUUUGUUGCUCUAAUGGCUAACUCUACCUGGGAGCUUGUUCCCUUACUUCAUUGUCGAAAAGUGAUUGGGUGUAAGUGGCUUUUUAAAAUAAAAAAAAUCCUGAUGGGGCUAUCACUUGGCACAAGGCUCAGCUGGUAGCAAUGGGUUGUUCUUAGGUACCUGGGUGUGAUUUCAAAGAAACCUUUAGUCUAAUGGUUACACCUACUACUAUUAGAAAAAUAUUGUCUAUUUCUGUUUCCAAUGGGUGAAAACUUCGUCAAAUCGAUGUGAAUAAUACCUUUUAAGAUGGUGAUCUCACUGACGAAGUGUUUAUGCAACAACCUUCAGGCUAUGUUCAGAUUGGUCCAUAUCGUGAGCUAUUGGUGUGUCGUCUGAAAAAGGAGUUGUAUGGAUUACGACAAGCUCCACGUGCCUGGUUUGAUAAAUUGAAACAUUUUUUCUACCAGAUUUGUGUUAUCCAAAUCUGAUGCAUCCCUGUUUGUUCGAGUUACGUACGUAUCCACUAUUUAUGUUCUAAUCUAUGUGGAUGAUAUUACCGUUACUGAAAGUACGACUGACGGUAUAAAUGACUUUAUUCAACAGUUACAUAAUAAGUUUUCCCUUAAAGAUAUGGGAGAUCUUCACUACUUCUUAGGUAUUCAAGUCACUCGGUCAUCCACUAGAAGUCUUCAUUUGUGCCAACGCAAAUACAUCUAGGAUCUGCUUGACAGGAGUUCCUGGGCUAACGUGAAAAGUGUUCACACACUGAUGGUUAGUUCUUUUACAUUGUCUAAAGAUGAGAAAAAUCACCUCGUUGAUCCCACUAAAUAUAGGAGCCUUGCCGGAGCAUUACAAUAUGUGGUCUUAACUCGGCCUAAUAUUGCUUAUGCGGUAAAUCGUGUUUGUCAAUUCAUGCAUAUGCCUACUACGGUACAUUUGGUGGCUUUGAAAAUAAUCUUGCGCUAUUUACGUGGCACUAUUGAUCAUGGGUUAAUUUUUCGUCCGUUCGACAGAUUGUCUUUAGUUGGCUAUGCUGAUUCCAACUGGGGACUGGAUUUUGAUGAUCGUCAGUCAACCAUAGACUAUUGUGUGUAUUUUGGACAUACAUCCAUCUUUUUGUGUUCUAUGAACCAACAAGUUAUUUUUCACUCCACGGCUGAUGCGAAGUAUCGUAGUCUAGCAGUAGCUACCAGUGAUGUUACUUGGUUAGCCUCUCUGUUAACGAAUUUAAAAAUUUGUUCUGCAAAUCCACUUACUAUUUGGUGUGACAAAUCUAGUGCAAUAGUGGUUGCUGCUAAUCCGGUUUUACACUCCAAAUUUAAACAUGGCGAGCUUGAUCUAUUUUUUGUUCGCGAAAAUGUCACUAAUGGUUCUCUCAUUGUUGGCGAAGUUCCGGCAUGUGAUCAGGUUGCUAGUAUUCUCACAAAACCAUUGUCCAUCUCUACUUUUGCUAGGUUUCAUAGUCUGCCUCAAGUCUUACCUCUUGAGAAGCUGGAUGAAGCCGGGUGAAUAUUAGAGUAUAGACUCUAUUAGUCUGUUACCAUUUUGUUAUACAGGCUAGAAUAUUGUUAGUAACCAGUUAGCAGCAAUUAGUCAUAGCAGUUAGUCAUACAAGUAUAAAUUCUAUUUAUGUAUAGUUCAAAGGUAAGCUAAUAAUACCAGAAGAGAUUUAACGUGUUCAUUCUACUUUCUUUGUUAUUCUUCAUAAUACAGUUGUUAACAGGCUUGAUAUCAUCUCUUAGAGAAAACUAGGAGAGAUAAGAGUAAGAGUAUGAGCAAACUAUGGAUAAGGCUCUACCAUAAUACCUUAGAUGCAGUUAAAGUAAGAGUAAGAGCCAACUUGUUUGGCUUGAUAGCAUCCCCUUAUAGAAAAAGCUCUACCGCAUGGCAUUAGAGCAAUAAAAGUAACACUUAAUUUCUUGGUUGAUAGCAUCUCGUAGGGGAAAAAGGUUUACCAUGUGACAUGAAAGUAAUUAAAGUAAGAUUAAGAGCUAACUUGUUUGUCUUAAUCGCAUUGUUUAAGAGAGAUCCAAAUAAAUUUACUCAAAAUAUGUUAAUCAAAUAAUGCAAAUUACAAUGUUUUGUCAAUUUUUCCUUUAAUUGUAACUGGGUUAAAGUUGGUAGUUGUAACUGGUACUAAUAGAAUAGAUUUGGUAGAAAUGGUUGAAAGCAACAUAAGCAAAGAUGACUUUGAUGUCAUUGUAUUGACCACGUGGGAACUAUAGAAUGUAGAGAAUAGUAUGGUGAUUGGCAUCAGAAUGUUGCUAACUUUGAGGACAGUAGAUAAGGAUGGAUCCAAAGGGGCUGUGGGCGGCCCCCUUGAAAUUUUCAAAUUUUUGAAUUUAUAUAUAAAUUAUCAUGUAUUUUAGAUUUGGUGUCCACAUUGUAUAACAUUCACCCCCUUUGCCAAAUUGUAUUUCAUAUCAUUCGCCCCCUUAAACCAUAAGGUUAUACUUUAUAUUAACAAAGUAUUUUCCAUUUUUUUUAAUUAUAUAAAUUUAAUAAUAACAAUAAUAAUAAAAUAUUAAUGUAUGAUAGGCAUUGAAAGACUAAACUUAUAGGUCCAAUUUGGACUUUAAAGCCAAAUUCUAUAAUUAAUUAAUUGAUUUGGCUCAUACCUAUACAUAUUAGGUUAGCGACUUUCUUGUAUUUUGAUUUGUAUGUCUUCUUAAGGAAUUAUCUUCCUUUGGUAAAGUGUUGACACUACCAAGAGAAAAAGAAAGGAUUUUGAUGACGAGACUAAGAGUAUAGAGCAAAAAUAUACAAAUUAUCUUCCUCUUGGCUCCUUAUGCAAAAAACCUCUCGGUAAAUUUUUUGCAUAAAUUAUGUUCUUUAUUUAUUUGACUUAUUUUUUUUAUUUUUUCCUAAUAUAUUUUGUUUAAUAUAUUAUUAAAAUCAUCAGGUUUUUCGAUUAAAUAAUGGUCAAUAAAAAGAUCGAAUCUAUUUUUUUAAAAAAAAGGUGUCAGAAAGCAAUAGUGAUCAACCAGUUCCUUAACCUUCUGUUAUUCGUGAAGAAAAACCAAAUAUUGGAUAUUCCCAAGCUCCUGAAUGAAAUAUUAGGUCUUAUCAAGCCCAAACUUUUGAAUGCGAUAUGGAGUCUUCCCCAGUUCUUAAACUAGAUUGUUACACUCCUUACCUGAUCCGAUCACCAAAUCCAUGUAGAGAGUACCACAACUUAAACCAUAUGAAUUGAAUAAUAAAUAUUUGAAAUUUAUUAAAGUAUCGAGUUCUUGGUGUAACCCUCAGUAUAAUAAUAUGAAACAAUCAAAUCAAUGAUACGCCAGGAACAAACAUUUUUAGGAAAAACACAUGGCGGAAACCUUACAAAAGUUUAUAAGUUUAUAUGAAAUGUAAGAUGAGUUAAUCCCAUACAAUAGUUUCAAGUGCAUUUUUGGCAGUUAAAACAACACUCUAAAACUAUUUGGUGUAGAUGCCAAUGAGACAAUCAUGUGGAAUAAGAUAUAGUAGCAUAAACACAUACAUCACUUACCAUGUCAUUAUAACAUAUACUAACCACAUAAACAAAUUUCUCGAGCUGCGAACGAACAAGUUUACCCAAACAUCUGGGGUUGGUAGAUAGCUUAUCAGAAAAGCCCUCCAAAUCCUAGAGUUCACCAAAACCUGGAGUUCGCCAAAUAGAGAUUCCCAUAGAAUACGCCAAACACACAACCAAAAAACAAAUACUCUACUAACUUACUUAUUUUUUAUUCUUAGCAUAAACAACUAUGCGCCAAAAAGUAACUUGAUACAUUAUCCAUCAGGCGGGUUGUUACAAUUCUCCCUCACUUAGAAAAUUUUGUCCUCAAAAUUCUUAACGGUGAAUAACUGAGGAUAUUGUUCUUUUAUUGAACUCUCUCUUUCCCAAGUGGAUUCUUUUUUAUUGUGAUUUCUCCAUAAUACAUUAACAAAAGGAAUUCUUUUUCUUCUCAACUUUUUUACCUCCCUUGCUAAUGCGAACAGGUUCUUCUUCAUAGGAUAUGUUUGGCUCCUUUUCUAAUGCUUUGACUUGUACCACAUGAUCUGGUUUGGAUUGAUAUUUUCUUAACACGAACACAUUAAUCACAUUGUGUAUCUUUGAUAACUCUAGUGGCAACACCAAUCUGUAUGCCACUGGACCAACCAGUUCCAAAAUCUCAUAUGGUCCUACGAAAUGCAGACUUAAUUUCCCUUUUUAUUCUAACCUUAUGAUAUUCUUCCAAAGAGAAAACUUCAUAAAUACAUUGUCACCCACUUCGAAAGAGAUUUCUUUCCUUUUUAGAUCAACAUAAGCUUUCUGACGAUCUUAAGUUACUUUCAGAUGAUUUCAAAUAAUAGAGACUUUCUCUUCUGUUUCUUGUACUAAAUCAAAACCAACUAUUUUCCUUUCACUGAGUUCCAUCCAACAGGUGGGAGAUCUACGCUUUCUUCCAUACAAAGCUUCAAAUGGUGAUAUUUCUAGAUUGGCGUGAUGACUAUAAUUAUACACAAACUUUGGCAAAGAAAGAUAUCUUUCUCAAUUCAUUCUGAAAUCUAUAAUACAACUUCUGAGCAUGUCUUCCAAAACUUGAAUUACUCUUUCAAAUUGUUCACCUGAUUAGGGAUGAAAGGCAGUACUGAAUCAUAUCUUGGUUCCUAACGAUUCUUGUUGUUGUCUUCAAAAUCUUGAUGUAAACAUUAGGUCUCGAUCUAAAACUACGGAUGUUGGAAUCCCAUGAAGACAUACAACUUCAGAAACGCAGAGCUUAGCCAACUUUUCCAAUGAGUAAUUUGUGCGGGCAAACAAGAAAUAGACUGACUUAGUAAGUCGAUCUACAAUUGCGCAAACUGAAUUCUUCUUUGAAAGGCUGAAAGGGAGAGCCAAAACAAAAUCCAUGGUGAUGUUAUCCCACUUCCACUUAGGUAUCUCUAAAGGGUACAACUUGCCUAAGGGAACCUGAUGUUCUGUUUUAAUCCGCUGACAUGUCAAAGAAAUGGAGAUGUACUCUGUUAUUUCUUUCUUCAUUCCAGGUCACCAAUACAAACUUCUCAAAUUACGAUACAUUUUAUGUAAUGCUCUCAACCCGACUCGAUAUGUCGAGUUUGGAUCUCGGGUAUUACUAUACACAGUACUUAGUAAAAUAUCAAAAUAGCUGACAAAUACUCUUUACUAAAAACAUUUUCUUAUUAUUUUAACCGAAAGAGUAAAUAUUUAAUAACAAGGGUAAAUAUUAGAAAUAAAAUAAAUUAUUACAUCAGACUUGGUACAACUGAUUAUAGUAUAAAAUUUUGUUAAAGACAGACUCUUGGGGAAUAACCCUAAUCUAUGCCACUUUUCCACUAUAUACAUAAUAACCCACUUCAGCACUAUCUUGGCAUACUCCUAGCAUCGUCACUCCUAACGCAUUCUCUACCCAUACACCUAAAAACAACAACAUUAUAAGCUCAAGAGAACUUAGUGAAUUUUAUCCCAAAAAUACCUUGGCGAGUACUUUAAUUAUUUGACUAACAUCUGUGCGCCAUCUAUCUUUUUAAACCACCUUCUUCUGAAUCAGACGGAUACUAUUACAGAUUCGACUUUCACUUAUACGCCAGCUAUCAUACUCUUAACACACUCACUUAUUCUAGAACAGUUUUUCACAUAUAUUAAUCAUUGACAGAUACAUACAUUUUUGGUGAAUACUUACGCAGAUCUAAAUACCAUCAAACUACUAAUCAAAUCAUACAUUGAUUCGAUACCAUACAAACUCCCAUUGAUAAUGUACUACACAAUUUAUUCAAAUGAAUUUUCCACUACUUUGUUACAGGACCCCAGAAAAUCAUCAUAACAAUAACUCAAUUUCCAUAUGAUUUCAAAAAAGGAUAUAAUACAACCCAAAUAUGGCGAAUUCCAGACAACUCAGAUUCAACAACUGUAUAACAUAGACAAAAUCACAUUGAUAAUUUCUUAUGUCCCAAAUAACUAUGAAUACGUCCAUAUUCAAUACUAACAGAUAAUCAUGACGGAUACCCUUCUUAUACAUAUAUGCAUUUCUUUUCUAAAAAUCUCUUAAGACUUACUCAGUUAUAUCACAGAUCUUAUUCAACCUUUAACUUCAGACGUAUCAUAAACCUAUCAGAUCAAUAUCUGUCACAAAGAAAUUGGCAUUUACCCAGAUUUUACAAUAAAGGCAGAUAAUCAUAUUAUAGUAGACAAACUUAACUGAAAGUGCUACAAAGGCCAAACAAAAUAUGCCAUAAAGGCUUCAUACAAAAUCAUGUGUUUACUAUCUCGACGGAUGAUACAUGAUAUUCGUGACAGGUUUUAAAAAUUUAUAAUUAAUCGUUCUUUAAAUUAACUAUUAUCACGAUGAAGGCAAGUGUACCUCUCGAACAGUAAUAUAGCUUUAGCAAGACCGGAUGGUCGAACCCAAAGGAACCAAGAGUACUAGUAAUUGCUUUCUUUUUAUUAUCUAGCCUAAAAAUUAAGGGAUUUAUUUAUCUAAUUAAUUAACUAAACUAAGGGUGCACAGAAAGAAAAUUGGGGAAAAGCUUUUGGGAAAACUCGAUUGAUUAAGACAAUACCCAAGAAAAAAUCCACCUAGACUUCACUUAUUAUUUGACUCUAAAUCAGACGAUUUAUUCAUUUGACUUGAUCCGUAGAAAUCCCUAAGUUAUAUUAUUAUCUCUCUUGAGACUAAUAACGUCUAACCCUAGGCUGAUAAUUGAAAUCUCUUUCUAAUUAACACUCUAGUGUUGCAUUAACUCGAUCUAUGGACUCCCUUAUUAGGUUUCACCCUAAUCCAGUAAAAUCUUGUCACCCUAUCUCUAGGCGUGCAAUCAACUCCGCUUAAUUAUGAAAAAUUUACUCUUAGAUAAGGACUUUUGCUCCUCUAAAUAAGCACAUUAACUUGAAUCAAUAUCUUGGAAUACUAAAACAAGAAUUAAGAACACAUAAUUAAGAACAAGUCAAAUAUUUAUCAUACAAUUCAGAAAAUAAUAACAAGAUCCGUCUUAGGUUUCAUUCCCCUUAGGUAUUUUGAGGUUUUAGUUCAUAAUUAUGAAAGAAAACAUCUCAAAAGAAUAAUGAUAACAAAACAUAAAGAAAACCCAAAACUCCUGAAGGAAAUUGAAGGGAGAUCCUCAGUCUUGACGAUGAAUCCGGCUUUUGAAAUGGAUCAAUCGGCUUUCCUUGAGUAAUUCAUUGCCUCCUACUCCCUAUGUAUCUUCUAAGUGCCUCCUCAGGUGUUUAAAUAGGCUUUAUAAUGUCUAAAAGCCCUCAAGAGUGGCCUUUUCUGAAUAGGACUGAACUUGGGCUCGAUAGGGACACGCCCGUGUGACACGCUCGUGUGCAAUUGCUUCAGACCGUAGUCAAGGCUACUAAAUAGGCAUGGGCGUGUGGUCUACCCGUGUGAGGAAGUCCAGGCCGUGUUGAUUUCUGAUGUUGGUCCAUUUUCUUCAUUUUCAGCCCGUUUCUCGCUCUUUUUACUCUCUUAUGCUCACCAAAGUAUAAAACAUGAAAUUAAAGGAUUAGGAGCAUCGAAUUCACCAAAUCUAAGGAGAAUUCAUCCAAAAAUAUGCUAAGCAUGAGGUAAAAAUAUGUAUAAAUUAUGGUUUAUUAAAUACCCCCACACUUAAGCGUUUGCUUGUCCUCUAGCAAAAUCCUCAACUCAAAAUCAAAAUAAAUUCUUCUUAACUUGUAACCCCUAUCAAUAAUAUCUCAAAAUAAACCAUAAGUAAUCAUGUAUUGAGAAUUCAACUAGAAAAGCAUUAAAGUCUCAAACAUUCCAAGUCGAGCAUUUUAUCACGAAAACAUAGGUGUUUCCCCUCAUCUAAGUGAUUACCUUUGAUUCAAAAUAUCACAAAGUUUUAACAUCCUCACUAAAGAUUCACUCAAAUCACUCGAGGUGUUUAAGGAUAAUAAAUGAAGCACUCAUUAGUCAAUAUGAAAAGUUAUUACCAAAGGCUUGUAUGAAAGUCAAAUCUCCACCACUAUAAAUUGAGAUGAUACAUCAAUCAAAAGGUCUUUAGAGGGUUGUAAAGUGGCUUUUGUUAGGGGGUGUAGUCACAAGCUGAAAGAAAGGUUAGAAUCAAGAUUGAAUUGAAAAAUUACCUAACUAGAAAAAUAACUAGUCAUUACUUGAAUACAUGUAAACUUCUUCUCAAAAUAUGAAAUUGAACACUUAAGCUCGAAAACAACGAAUUACUACUAAUAUAUGUAUGUAUUAUAAUUUUUUUUAAGAACAAGUCAAAUAAUAUAGGUUAAUUAUCAAAAAUAAAACAUAGCUAAGUAAUUUAUUCAAAUUAAAUCUCGACAAAAAUUGGGAUCAACUUGAUUGAGGGGAUUUCAACAGUAAUAGGUUAUAGGUUAAUAUUGAGGGUAAAUCAAUGGAUAGUUUGUUAGGCUCAAAGGGGUUCACUAAGGACAAAUUAUGAAGGUAGGCUUUUGUGGAGUGAGUGGGUUAAACCUAAGUGCCUUUAUCAUCUCGACAUAUUAAAUCAAAUGGUGUGGUCUUGACAUGCAUAAUCAAGCAAGUUCUAGAAUAACAAAUCAAUACUGACGCACUCAUAAUAAAAGUGAGCAUGAAAGAAAUAAAAUAUGAUCUAAAAGCUUAAAAUCUCACAAAAAAUUAUGGCUUUUUGAUGUUGAACCUGUGAAUUUCAACUCAAGAUAAUACCUAAACUUGGGGAAACAACCUAAAAAUUUUAAAUACUCAAAAAUCAACUUAUCAUGUCUGAUUUUCUAAUUCCUUCAAAGUUUAAACGGUCAAUGCAUAAAUACCUAUGUUUUAAUUCAAGACAUAUCAAUAAAAAUCAUAAAUUAAUCAAAAUUCAUUCUAAUAAUGAUAUGAGAAGAUUAUUUGAGAACAAGACAAAAUUUAAGGAUUUUUUUGAUAAUGAUAUAAAGGCCCCCCACACUUAAGAUGUACAUUGCCCUCAAUGUACAAAGUUAGAUUUACAACGAUAUAGAUAUAAGAUCAUAAGAUAGGGAGAGAAGUGAAACUUCCUGAAUAAUGAAUGAACUCCUUGAAUUGGAGUUAUGGAGAAUAAUCGGCAAAGGCAAUGAUAAGAUUGGAGGAGGAUACUUCGGUGGUGGUAGAGGUUGGGUUCCACAACCUCAGUGUCCAGCGAAGAAGUUAUCGUGGUGGUCGAGCAAGACAUUACAGUUAUGGAGAACCUUUUCCAGUGGAGUUUCAAGUUUCUAAGUGAUGGUGAGCUUUGGGGCUCUUAGUAACUGUGAUAAAAUCAAGAACUCUUUAAGAAAUGUAAGGAAGCAUAAUUACACGUAAUGAAAUAGCUGAAACUAUAAAUUAUUCAAUAAAAAUUAUAAAACCUAAAAAUGAAAUAAUAUUAAAGGAAAAUAAAAUAAAAAGUACUUAAAAAUGUAAAUAAAAAUAAAAUAUAAAAAGUUUUUAAACAUCGUCAUCGCUGGAUGGUUCGCAAGGUGGUGGUGGUGAUGAGAUGUGAAGGUGCUGACAAAUCUGAUGUAGAGUAGCAUCAAUGUUAUCAAAGCGCUGAAAACACUAUUGCUCAAAUCAAUAAGGCACUCAGAGAUGUCAGAGUAUGAAAUCGCCGCAUGAACUGGACGAUAGAUGGGUUGUGGCUGAAAUGGUGGGUCCUCAUGACGUGGAGGGACAUCAUUAGUAAUUCCUCCGGGUCCUCCUCCUCGGCUGACUGGAUGAGGCGGUACUGAGCAGAAUCGAUUCCAUGUCAUUUCUCGAUCAUCCUCAUAUGUAGCAUGCUUGAAAUACCCUGUGGGGACAUCUGGCCGAUGAGAGUGAGCGAGAAUGAUUGUGCCACUGUGUUAAAGAGUCCAAAGUGCCGAAUCAAUCGAGUCACAUAGGGGCCAAUAGAGAUGACUCCCUUCCUAUGCCGUUCCGUCUGAUGGCGAAUGGCGAAGGCAAUGAAAUAGGCGAGGUCGAAGAUGUGCCCAUUCGCCAUGCUCCAUAAAAAGUAGGCAUCGUGAGUGUUGACAAUGCCGGUGCUCUCUUGUCUUCCUGUCAGAGUGUGGGCCAAGAGGGCGUGUAGGUACCUCAAGGAUGGAGGGAGAGUUGAUGUUUUGGAACGGUUAGGGUCGUAGGUGGCCGAGGGAGGGACGAGGGCCUCCAGCACUUCGAGUGAGAGUAAUGGAUGUGGCGAUGAAGGAUGUCGAGUUCGUUGUAGUCCAUGAACUCCUCCGUAUACAGCCCUAGUACAAUUUUGAACUCCGGUACGCUCAAUUGGCACACUAAACCACCAAGACGAAACUGGACCGUUGUAGGAUCGUCGAACUCUGUCAUAACGGUUUGGAAGUGAAAGGUCGAAUAGAGUUCCAGUGUGAGCUUAAGGUAUAUCGGCUUGAUGAUCCCAAAGAAGAGCUCCCAUGGAUCAGUCGACAGAAGGGCUCUGACCGCGUCAACCAGUUGGACUUGUUCAAGUGCGGCCCAUUCAAUGCAGCGGCCCACACCUAAGGGUCAGGCCCGAAGUAUCUAAAAGAGUUCUUCCUAAGGUCCUAAGGGAAACUAAAUAAAGGGGUGCCUGAUCUCCACGGUAGGACCCAAGGAUGACACUGCUCAUUUCCUUUUCUUUGAAGCGGGGACAGCGAUUUUCUUACCAUGGUUUGACAUGAUAUCUGCAAUGGCAAGACGAAAAAAAUAAUAAAUAAAAAAGUAAACUUACUCUCCAACAAUAACAUGAAAAAACAUAUGCAAUGCAUGUUAAAACUAAUAGAGAUACUUUAUAGGAGUCAUGUACUAAAGAACAACUACGCUGAAAAAUAACCCAAUCAGAUAUAUUAAGUCAUUACUACGAAUAGGAAUAUGAUAAUAAUGCCUAGUGAAUGAAUGCAUAUGGAAAUGAUGAUAUGGAAAAUAGAAUGAAGUCCAUGGCAACACAAGAAUGGUGGUAUCAUAAUGCAUCAACUAAGAUAGCAAGAAACAAAGAGCAUAAGCAAGGCUAUUAUUAGAACUAUGAAGAUUAACAGUCAAAAUAAAACAAGAAAAAUCGAAUUCAUAAACGAAAUGAAGAGAAAAGAAUGGACAAACGCAAAAGCUUGGUAGAGGGAGGAGCUUGGGCCGUCGUUAGUGGUGUUGUGGUUGGCGCACGGGCGUGGCAGGAAGGCGUGGGCAAGAGUUACGGCGGCUACAGUUAGGGAUUUUGGGGAAGGGGAUGAUGAAUAUAAGGGGUUUAUUCAACUCGUGUUUAUCGCGAUUUUUAAAUUUGGGCACGUCUGAAAUUCGUCCCACGCCGAUGUCCUUUGGGCGUGUUGGUGCACAUGGCCGUGUCGUACGGUCGUGUCCUACUUCGUUCACUUCUCCCACGCUCGUGUGUAUAAGCACACGCCCGUGUUGUUUGAUCAGUCUUGAGCACGGUUGGUGGGCACGGGCGUGUCGCACACUUGUGCUAAAUUCUCAGUUUCAACCACGAUUUCAAGACACGGGCGUGUCACACGCCCGUGUUGAUUUGAAAGACUCACCCACGGCCACGUUACACAGCCGUGGCAACUUAUCACAUCUCGUGUUAAGCAAAAAUUUUUCCCUGUUUCCACACGGUCGUGUCGCAAGGCCGUGUCUCCUCCCGUAGUGUGAGCACGGCCUAAGGCACACCUGUGUGCCUCACCGUGUGAAUUAGAAAACCAGUAUUUCAAUGACUCAGUUAGUGAUUAGAUGUUAAAAACUAAAAUUUUAAAGAAGGUAACACUAUUAGUGCUCGGGUUACCUCGCGAAAAGCAUUUAUUUAUAGUCUAAGCUCGACUUACCUCUCUGUUGCAUAGUCAUGGUAGUGCAAGGAGUUUACACUCCUCAUCCCUGCUAUCAAUUUUAUCAAAAUAAGGUUUUAGACAAGUACUAUUUACCUUAAACGUACCGAAUUUGGGAUGAAUUACCUCGACUGUGCCGUAUGGGAAAAUACUAAGUACCGUAAGAGGGAUUUCUCCAUUAGGUUCAAAGGUGGCAAUCCGAAGGUCUGCUGCAUCUAAUAGUACUUUGUUUCCAACCUUAAGUUGAGUUGGAGAAAUAUUGAGCUCGUCAUGGCAUGGUUUUUUUUAUCGUGUGAUUUCGAUUUCUGUGUCUGCCAUUCAUCUAGUUCCUCAACCUGUAGCCUUGUUCUUCAUAGAUGGGUUCUUUGUCGUUAUUUGAAUGUGGCUCAAGUGUGUUUCUCGAAUGUGUUUCCUGCACAGAGGGUUUCACCACAUGAUCAGUACUGAUAGAAUUUCGAGCUUGAGGAGUAAUUGAUUCAUCACCCAUACGAAGUGUGAGUUUACUUGUGCCAACAUCAAUUAUAGUUUUAGCAGUUGCUAGAAAGGACCGUCUUAAAAUUAAAGGUGCGUCGCUAUCCUCUUCUAUGUCUAGAACAACAAAAUCAAUUGGGAAAAUAAAUUUAUCGAUUUUUACCAAUACAUCUUCAAUGAUACCCCUGGGAAAUCUAAUAGUUUUAUCAGCUAACUGAAUACUCAUCCUAGUUUGUUUAGGUUUCCCAAUACCUAGUUGUUUAAACAUUUUAUAAGGCAUGAAAUUGAUACUAGCCCCUAAAUCAGCCAAAGCGUUAUUAACAUCUAAGCUACCAAUUAAAUAAGGAAUCGUAAAACUCCUUGGAUCUUUCAAUUUGUUGGCCAUGAUGUCUCGUUGAGAGCACCAAAAAUAUCCUAUUCUCUGUAAAAUAGUAAAAAUAACAGUAAAAGGGAAGUAGGGUCGAAUCCUCAGGGACCGGAUUGUACAAAUGCUCGUUUCUUGAAAUCCUGGACAAUUUCUUGGCCAAGAAAACCUGCGUUCCUGAAAAAUAAAAAAAAUAAAAUUAAGAAUCUGGAAAAAAAAAUAGAAUUUAAAGGGAAUUGAAAUUGCGAAAUUAAAUAAAUUGUCGAAAUUAAAAUGAGGAAAAAUAAAUAGAGUUGGGAAAAGAGAAAGUUUCUUAUGUGGCGAGAUUCCAGGCUCCGGUUGUCUCGUUCCGCCUUGGGUUCAAUCCUUGGCCUUUAAGUAACCCUUCCCAACUCAAGUAAGCCAGUUAUAGUGGAAGAGGAUGCCUACGACCACCAGCUCCAAAGAUUAGACUUACGAUUUUUAGGGAACCUGACUCUAACCAGUAAUCUAUGCUAGAUCAACGCUUCUCAAUGGCGAAUCCCAAGUCAUUUUGUCUCUUUGGCUCGCCAACCUUUGACGCAGUAAAUUAACAAACCGACUGUGCAAUCCUUUCAAAACAUACAAAGCGGUCGCCUUUGCAUAUGCUGAAAAGCUUACUUCUUAAGGGCCAUGGACGGAAGCGUCAGCCCGUAGUGCGGAGAAACGAUGAAUACUUGGCGAGAAGGCUAAGUACGGGUUCUAGGCCUCAAAAACCCUUUUUUGGGGAAUAUUGACAACCUUCAGCUAGAUAGGUUUUAAUGGCUCAUGAUAAUGGUGGAAAAGGAAAUAAAUAUAAAAAUAGAAAAUAAAAUUUUAUUCAAAGAAAAUAUGAAGAAACAAAAGCCUAGACUUUUAGGGGGAGAGUGUUUAUAGAAAAAGAUGAACACCCCAAAUAGAGUCACUUCACCCCCUAUUUAUAGUGCUAGGGAGAUAAUCUAAUUUAACUUAAAUUCUAAAAAGAUAAAUACAUUUAAUUAAAGAUAAUUAAAAUAAAAUCCUAAAAUUAAAUAAUCCUAAUAAUUAUCUUAAUAAUAAUUAUUCUAAUAUAAAUAAAAUGGAGUCUUAUAAAAUAAAAUCUCUUCUUUUUGAGUUUUCAGUCCUUGUGUCAUCCAUGCUCGCACUUUUGGAACAAUCUUUUUCCUGUGUCGCAUAUCAGCCCAUUGUGUCUCCAAAUUCGCACUUUUGUCCCUUAAUUUUUCUUUUUGCCUCCAAAUCAGUCCUUUAAAGAUAAAAAGACAUAAAUAGCUAAAAUUAGUAUGAUCAAGCUCAGAAUAAAUAUAUAAUUAGCACAUAAAAACAUGACAUUCUAGAGUGUUAUCAGGCCAGCUUAUUUUGCAGAAUGGCUGAGCAAACUGCAUUCAUCUCCACAUGCGAUGCCUCAUCUAACUUCCGUUUAUUCGCUAAAAGCUCCUUUAAAAAUUUGACUGUGUUCAGCAUCUACGAAAAAGCUUCAAUAAACGGUAAGUUAAUAUGUAAUUUCUUUAAAAUUUUAAGGAAUUUACCGAAUUGUUCGUCUGAGUGGUCUUUCCUUGUCGUAUUUGGGUAUAGUACACGUGGUUUGUACUCUUUACUUACCUGUUUUUGCUCAUUAUGGUCCACCUUACCUCUACCUUUACUUACCACAAUUUCUUGCCUUAGUUCUGGUUGAGGUGCAACUAACCCUUCCUCAUCUUGAAUGGUAAUCGCAUUGAGCUAUUCCCUUGGAUUAGAUUUAGUGUUACUCAACAGGCUACCUUGUGGUCGUUCAGAUACCAAUUUAGCAAGCUGGCUUAUCUGAGUUUUGAGCCCUUGAAUCGACACUUGUUGAUUCUUAAGUGCUUUCUUGGUAUUCUAAAAACAAGUUUCUAACACUGAGAUGAAUUUUGUUAGCAUCUCCUCAAGGUUCAGCUUUUUCUCUUGUUGGUAAGGUGGUUGUUGGAAGCCUGGAGGUGGUGGGGGUCUCUGAUUUCCUUGGCCUCCCCAUGAAAAAUUUGGAUGGUUCCUCCAACCUGCAUUUUAAGUGUUACUAUAAGGAUUAUUUUAAGAUCGAGGAUUAUUACCCAUGUAAUUCAACUGCUCAUUUUCCAUACUGUGGCCAUAAGGUGGGUAUUCUGAAUUGCUUGAUCCACCUCUACUUGCUUCGCACUGCAUUACUAGGUGAACCUGUGAAUAACCAAAUAACCCGUCAAUUUUCUUAUUUAAUAGUUCUACCUGACUAGAGAGCAUCAUGACUAAAUCAACGUUAAAAACGUCAGUUGUUUUAGUCGGCUUUGUCCUCAUUACUUGCCACUGAUAAUUAUUCAGUGAGAUCUCUUCUAUAAAUUCAUAAGCAUCUUCAGAUGUCCUAUUAUUGAUAGUCCCACCAGCGGAUGCAUCGAUAAGUUGCCUUGUUGAGGGGUUUACACCGUUGUAAAACGUCUGAACUUGCUGCCAUAGAGGCAACCCAUGAUGAGGGCACCUUCUCAACAGAUCUUUGUAUCUCUCCCAUGCAUCAUAAAGCGUUUUUAGAUUCAUCUGCAUAAAAGAAGAGAUAUCACUACGUAAUUUAGUCAUUUUAGCCGACGGAAAAUAUUUUAAUAAGAAUUUUUUAUUGUCAUUUGUUCCCAAGUAGUGAUUGACACUCGUGGUAACGAGUUCAACCACUGUUUAGAUUUGUUCCUCAAUGAAAAGGGAAAUAACCGAAGACGAAUGGAAUCAUCAGAAAUGCCAUUAAUUUUAAAUGUGUCGCAAAACUCUAGAAAAUUUGCCAAGUGAUUGUUCCUCAUCCUGCAAACUAUCAAACUAAACAAAUUGUUGUAUCAUUUGAAUUGUGUUAGGUUUUAGUUCAAAAUUAUUUGCAGCAACAGCUGGCCUAACUAUACUUGACUCAGUUCCUCUUAAAGUAGGUUUAGCAUAAUCAUACAUAGUACGCGGAGUAGGAUUCUGAUUAGCAGCAAUCGCAAGAGGUAGCGGAUUUUCCUGAUUUUCAGUCAUCUCCUCAGUUGUGGUGGAAAUAUCGUCCUCUUGCUCUUUCUCUGUGUAUCUUAGGCUUUGCCUUAUUUCUCUUCGAUUUCUGUGAGCUGUGCGAUCGAUCUCACUAUCAAAAAGUAAUGGUCCUGACGGGUUUCUUCUAGUCAUGCACUAUAAAAACUUGCCAUAAGCGAAUAAACGAAAAAUAAGAAUAAGAAAAUAAAAUAAAAAUUCAAAUUGCAACAAAAGUAAAAUGGCUAAAGUAAUAAAAAUUGAGUGUUCCUAAUAUCUUCGUUCCCCGGCAACAGCGCCAAAAACUUGAUACGUGAUAUUCGCGACAGGUUUUAAAAAUUUAUAAUUAAUCAUUCUUGAAACUAACUAUUAUCACGAUGAAGCCAAAUGUACCUAUCGAACAGCAAUAUAGCUUUAGCAAGACCGGAUUGUCAAACCUAAAGGAACCAAGAGUAUUAGUAAUUGCUUUCUUUUUAUUAUCUAGCCUAAAAAUUAAGGGAUUUGUUUAUCUAACUAAUUAACUAAACUAAGGGUGCACAGAAAGAAAAUUGGGGAAAAGCUUUUGGGAAAACUCAAUUGAUUAAGACAAUACCCAAGGAAAAAUCCACCUAGACUUCACUUGUUAUUUGACUCUGAAUCAGACGAUUUAUUCAUUUGACUUGAUCCGUAGAAAUCCCUAAGUUAUAUUAUUAUCUCUCUCGAGACUGAUAACGUCUAACCCUAGGUUGAUUAAUUGAAAUCUCUUUCUAAUUAACACCCUAGUGUUGCAUUAACUCGAUCUAUGGACUCCCUUAUUAGGUUUCACCCUAAUCCGGCAAAAUCUUGUCACCCUAUCUCUAAGCGUGCAAUCAACUCCGCUUAAUUAUGAAAAAUUUACUCUUAGACAGGGACUUUUGCUCCUCUGAAUAAGGGCAUUAACUUGAAUCAAUAUCUUGGAAGAUUAAACCAAGAAUUAAGAACACAUAAUUAAGAAUAAGUCAAAUAUUUAUCAUACAAUUCAGAUAAUAAUAACAAGAUCCGUCUUAGGUUUCAUUCCCCUUAGGUAUUUAGGGGUUUUAGUUCAUAAUUAUGAAAGAAAACAUCUCAAAAGAAAAAUGAUAACAAAAUAUAAAGAAAACCCAAAACUCCUGAAGGAAAUUGAAGGAGAUCCUCAGUCUUGACGAAUAAUCCAGAUUUUGAGAUGGAUCAAUUGGCUUUGCUUGAGUAAUUCAUUGCCUCCUACUCCCUGUGUGUCUUCUAAGUGCCUCCCCAGGUGUUUAAAUAGGCUUUAGAAUGCCUAAAAGCCCUCAAGAGUGGCCUUUUUCGAAUAAUACUGAACUUGGGCUCGACAGGGACACGCUUGUGUGACACGCCCGUGUGCGAUUGCUUCAGACCAUGGUCAAGGCUGUUAAAUAGGCACGGGCGUAUGGUCUAUCUGUGUGAGGAAGUCCAGGCCUUGUUAAUUUCCCAUGUUGGUCUAUUUUCUUCGUUUUCGGCCCAUUUCUUAUGCUCACCUAAGUAUAAAACAUGAAAUUAAAGGAUUAGGAGUAUCGAAUUCACCAAAUCUAAUGAUAAUUCAUCCAAAAAUAUGCUAAGCAUGAGGUAAGAAUAUGUAUAAAUUAUGGUUUAUCAAUGGACUAUCACAGAAGGUGUCAUAGGUUUCUCCAACAUGGGCUUAUACAUAAUUUCAUGUAUUGUGAUCUGCCAUUUCAAAUUAUACAUUAUCGAAGGCUACACCAUAAGCAUAUAUACAGACAUAUCUUGCAAUGGGUCUUAGCCAUAUAGCUUACACACACAUUCAUGUAUUGUAAUCUGCCAAUCCAAUCUUCAUCUUAUUAGAGGCUACACCAUGAGUGUUUCCAAAUCAAAGUAAGAUGUCAUGGGUCUCAACCUUAUAGUUUAUUCUUGUUUUCGUAUCGUGAUCUGCCAGUCUAGUUAGCAAUAUAACUGCCCUACCAGAGGCAUCAUAGAGGAAAAUUUGCUCAGCAUUUACUUCCCUAGAUGAUCACCUUUUUACUAGCUCAUACAUCUCCUACAUCAGACCUUACCUGCAUGCUUACCAAACAUUAUUCUUUUUAAUAGAAUUUAUACAUAUCAUCGUAGCACAUCUUUCAUCUUUGCUAAACUCAUAUUUAUACUAAUUUCUGUAGACAUCAUCAUCACAUAUAUAUAUGCUUCUUGUUUGAACAGUUCAUAUCAAAAAGUCAGGAUAGAGACCCACUUAACUCUCAUCUAUUGCAGUUCAAAGUUCUGGACUCAACCACCCUUCUCAAACCAACAGUAAAAACUGCUUACAAAACAUAGAAUCACCAUUAAAACUCAUUUACAUACAAAUUACCAUCAUCUUAAUCACUUUUCCGCUGCUAAUUAAUAAAUAAAUGUUGAGUAGUAAAUAAAUAAAAAAUUAACUAAGUUUUCAAAAAAAAAAAGUCACUGUGAUGAGAAGAAUAAGUUUUCAAAAACAAAAGUCACCGUGAUGAGAAGAAUGUCAAAAUUAAUUGGUUUUUGUUAACUCAUAUGUUUUUCUAAAAAUAGGUUAAGUUUUCUUCUGAAAUAAACAAAUAUUUUGAAAUGAUUGUUUUAUAAACUCCAAUCAUAGGCCAUCUUAGUGGUCGAUGUAAUCUCCCAAAUUCGGUUCUAACAUCUAGGUUGGGUUGGAGAGGUUACAAUAUAUAUAGAAGGAUUCAUCAAUAAUGGAAACUUGAAUACAAGCAAAGAAAGAAAUCAAUCAAUGUGAAUUACUAACAAGUUCAAAAGCAUAUAUUUGGAUUAUAUUUUGUAAAGUACAAGAAUGUCAAGGAAUUAGACAUUUUGUUUUGAUAGUGAUUAUAUUUUAUAUAUAUUUACUUUUAUGCACUUUCAUAUUGAGUUGAUCAACAGUUUUGAAACUUUAUAGAAAACUUCAAGGUAUCACUUGUUGCGUAAGUGAUAUUUUACUAAGGGUGCAUAAUUGGAGGCCUCCUAGAUAUGUGAAAAUAAUGUUUAAAAAUCCAUCAAAUAGUAAAAACAUAAAUGAAAUAGCAUAUUGAUAUAUAUGGUAUCUUGAGUGUUGAAUUAAACAUUCUUUAGUAAAAGAAUGUACAUUUUGCACAUUGUGGGUGUGUUGGUUUCUUAUAUAUCAAUUAAGCACAAAUUAAAGAAAAAUAAUAUAUAUCACCAUAGUGUUGUAAUAUUUUGUAAAAUUUGUAAAAUUAUAUAAGCAAAAAAGUUUACCUAUCUCGUUAAAUAAAACUCAUUGAGUUGGUUCUUAAUAUUGAAGAAUUAGAGUGGUUGACUUCUUUAUUCAUUUUAUCCAACUACAAGUUGGAUUAAAGUUGUGGAAAUAGAAUGGUUGAAAAUUUGUGUUAAUGAGAAUUAAAGUUGUGGCCACAACUGAUGCCGACUAUUUUCUAGAAACAGGGACUGAUGUCCAAAACAUGUAGUAAAAUAAAAUUUUAGACAUGUUAGCAUAUGAAUUUAUUAUAUUAUAGAUUCAAUGUAACACCCCUAUCCUAUCUCUGUUGCUGGAUUAGGAUUUCAGACUAUUACUAAGAAAAAUAGAACAUUUAACUUUCCAACAGAAACAAUUAUACAAUUAAAUACCAACAUAUAUCAAUUAAAUCUAAUCAUGGCAAAUAUUACACUUAUAGACCUUGAAUCGAGCCUAUGGAGCCCUAGAAAAAAUUUAGGAACAAUUUGGGAUCAAAUCGAAACAAAUCAAAACAUUUUGAAAAAAAUAUAAAAAUUUGGGAAAACAGGGGUCACACGGUUGUAUGGCCAAGUCGUGUGACAAAGCCUACACCGCGUAAACAUUAGAAGUCAAAACACUCAACUGUGUCCCAGCCUGUGUGUCUACUCAUGUGUAUAAUCGAAAUAGGGUCACACAGCUGUGCUGCAGACUGUAAACCGUGUGUGUAUUCGAAGUUAGGUCACACGACCAUGUGACCGACCGUGCCACAAACUGUUUUGAGACACACGGUCGUGUCACAGACCAUGUGAAAUAUGCACCUAAAAUAAUAAAUAUACACGACCAUGUGUGGUGACUAUGUGUGGCACAUGGUCGUGUGGUAGCUUGUGUCUCAGGCUGUGUGCUCCAUUUUUAACCCCUAAAUUAAGUUAAUCAAGCAUCAUUUCUUGCACAGCAAGACAUACCAUAUCUAACUAAUUUUACAUGGUAAAAAUCACAUUCAGAUCACCAAAUACAUACCAAAAUUUCAUUCAUCCUAUGUCUAACCAAUAUACCAUCAAAAGGCAUCUCAAUCCAUACAUUCAUUCAACUCAAGAACAAAGUUACAAUAAAGGAACAAGUUUUAUCAUUAGUUAACCAUUCAUGCCUAAAACCACCAAUCUAAUUGACGAAAAUAUGGGCAUACUCAACAAGCAACCAUUUCAAAACAUCAUCACCAAAUCUUUAUAUACCAUUUAGGAUCAACUUAAUUAUAUCCAACACAAGUACACAUCCAAAACAAAGCACAUCACUAGAAAUACCAAAAUAACUUAACGAUUUACACAUCAACAAUAAGACACCACAUCCCAAAAUGAAAUACAAAAGCUACCGAGAUGGCUGGAUAGUGUGUGCUCCAAAACAAUUCGUCUAGUCAGUCCAUAAAACGCCAACUCAACCAAUAUAGAUAAACAAAAAAGAUAAGUUCUAAUUCUUGAUAUUCAAAUGCAAGAUCACACCACAUUAGUAUAUAUUUAUUUACAUCAUAAAUGAUACCUUCCAAAAGUCAUAACCAAUUCAUCAUCCAAAAUUUCUCAAUACAACCAUUAACAUUUAUAAAACAAAAACUUCAUAGAAACAUUUAUCAUUUAGUAGUAAUAUAACUAUCCAACAAAAUUGAACAAAUAAAUGAGUUUUAAGUCAUUUGAUGCAUAUCCCGCUGAACUAUAGUAACUAGACUCGGAUACUCAAUGAUGCAUAACAGAGGCACCAAAGUGCAAACAGAGGAAGGAAUAUGCAAUCAAAGGCAUUGAAGUGCAAACAAAUGCACCAAAGUGCAAACCCGUACAAGCGCACAUUAAAACCCUAUUGGCAUACUAAUCGUAUCCUAAUCAUUUACUAUGUUCAAUGGGGCAUUAAGAAUGGGGCAUUAUACUUAAAAUCGCAAUACCAAUAAAUCCAUCAUUUAGAGGCACUUCUUAUUUCCGUACACAUAAUAACAAUAAUUACCAUCAUCAAACAUUCAUUUUAUAUUUGUACUUAAUUACAAAUUUUAAUAAUAUAUAAGUAACUAAUGAAAUUUCCCAUAUAUACCAUUAACUAGAAAAAAAUAAUAUAAUCAUAAAGAGAUACACAUAUACAUAUUAUUACAUUAUGAACUUACCUGCAAUCCACUUCCAAAUAAUAUACAGGGACUACUCCGCAAUUUUUCUCUUUCCUCGAUUAUUGUCUUUUUGACUCGGUUCUUGAUCUAUAUAAUAAUUAAAUUUAAUUUAUUAAAUUUACAUAAUUUAAAAAUCAAUUCAAUGCAUGACACCCUUAUGUUUUCAUUAUUUUCACAUUUUCCUUAAACUUUUACAUUUCUCACAAUUUAGUCCCUAAACCCGAAAUUCCAAAAUUUAACAAAAUUUUACAAUUUUCCAUGCUAGCCGAACUUCUUUCUAAACUAGUACAAUCCCCAAUUAUUUACAAUUCACAAAAUUUCUAUGCAAAUUUUAAUUAUUUACACAUUGAUCAUUAAACUCAAAAUUAACACAAAUUCUUUUACAAAAAUAUCCUAAUCAACAUUCAAAUAUAUACAACUACCAUUAAAAAUCAUGAACACCAAAAUUCCAUUACUAACCAAUCCCUAAAACUUCAACAUUUUUAUAAUUUCAUCCUCAGGUUUAAUAGUUUAAGCUACAACGAGUUCAAAAAAUAUAAAAAUUAUUAAAUAUGUGAGAGAGAAACACUUACAUGCACCAAUUUGCUAACCGAAACUUUAAGCUCAAAAAAUGGAGUUUCUUUUUUUCUUUUUCUUUUUUGGUAGGAGAGAGUUGAGAAGAUGAUGAUACCAUAUUUUAUCUUUUGUUUCUUUUCUUUAAUUAAACUAAUUACCAAAUUAACCUUUUAAUCUGAACUAAAUUAUUAACAUAACAUGACCAUAAUUUUCCAUUAACUAACCAUAAGGUUUAUCUAUCAAUCAAGUCCAUUAUUUUAGUUUUUCUUUAAAAAUCAAGCACAUUUAACUAAUAAAAGCUACUUUAGCAUAUUUUACAAUUUAGUCUUUUUUACUAAAUUAACUAACUAGACAUUAAAAUUUCUUAUCCAAAUUUUAAUACGACUCAAAUAUAACUCUAUAAACAUAAAAUAAACAUAAAAUACUAACUCACUUGUUGGAAUUAUGGUCCUGAAAUAACCAUUUUCGAUACUACUGAAAAAUGGGAUAUUACAUUCAAUCUCUAAUUUAUGCUAAUGAAUGUGAGAGAAUAAUUUUCUUUGUAUAGUAAUACUACAACUAGAAUGUGUUUCGAUCCUAUUCUUAGAAACUGAUAGUAGAAACCCAACUUUUAAUUAGAAACCUCUUGUUUUAAAGUUCAAUGGGUAAAAGCAAGUUAUCGUUAUAUGUCUGUGAUACACUAGUAAAACUCAUUAUAGAAAAAAAAAGUUUAAUGGAAACUAGUGUUAUCCAUUGCGUAUAGAGGAUGAAUUUGAAUACUAUUAAUGAAGUUCAUUGUUUAUUGUUUAAAUGUCUAAAGCAAGGGAAACAUUAAAAGAACUCUACCUAUAUAAACAUAAGAAGUGAUGCCACUUCAACAAGUAAAGGUAGGGUCUCUCUUGUAAAUGUUUAUUAUGAACAAGAUAAGCACAUGAUCAUUUUAGUGCUAAAAGUGAACAACCUCUGAUAGAAAUAUAAAUGAAUAUUAUGUGUAGUGUAUUUCAACUUCUAAUACUAGGAGUUGUGGUUCAAUCUUCGGACACCAACGACUUAUUAGAACUUUGAAAAGCAUCCGCUAAUUGAUGGUUCAUAUUGAGAGAUAUCAUCUUAUAUGCAUAAUAUUUGUUGGAGUGAAUGGCUAUAAAGUAUGGUACCAACAUUUAAACUAAGGGUGAUUGUUAGUAGUUUAUAAUGUUGGCAGUAAAAAUAUUUUAUUAUGUAGAAAAGUCUAAUAACUUAUAAUUAUUGGCCAAAUAAUUGUGUUGUAAAGAGAAUUUUUGUAUGUAAAGUUGUCUUAUAAACUUUAUGUAAAGUUGUGUUGUAAAACAACACAAUUAUAUGAAAAGGUAUCUUAUUAAAAGAUAUAUUCAUAUUAAAGGGUAUCUCAUAAAAGAUACAUCUAUUGGAUGUCUAUAUAAAAGACUUUUCUAUUAGUCAUUUAAAUUGUUUUACUUGGAGUGUUGAGGCCUUUAUUGUAUCUUGAAGGUAUUUUAAAAUCUUAAAGAAAGUGCUCUACAUGCCUCAAAGUCGUUAUAUUUUAUAACAUUAUUUUAUUUUUCUAACUUCUAUUUUCCUAUUAUUUAUUUUUCUAACAGCCAGAAUAUAGAAAAAUUAUUAUGUUUCUAACUAUAUAUUAAAUACGAGUACUACUUGGAAGCCAGCACCCACAAACAUGAUAAAAGUUAAUUUUGAUGAGAGUUUUGACGUGGAAGCAAGAAAUGAGGAAGAGGGUAGUUAUGCAGCAUUGUGAUGGUUUUUUAGUCCGACUACGCAACCAUCCAAUUUAGGGUGCGUUCUACAUUAAGGUGAAAAAGCACUUAAAAAGAACAUUUGGUUUUUACACUUAAAAGUGUGAUGGAAAAAUACUUUUUCAUUCAAAUACAAAAAUUAAGAUAUAAAUGCUUUUGACUUUUAGCUUUUACAUUAGAAUGUGAAAAUUAUCAAAUACUAUUAUUUAUAUUAACUAUUUAAAGUGUAUAUAAAAAUUAGAUUAAUUUAUAUUUUAUAUAUCAUUAUAUUAAAUUAUUUAAAUAUUAUUUAUUAUUAUAUCUUUUAAUAAUUUAUAUAUCAUCUAUUUUACAAAUAAUUUAUAUUAAUUACUUCAAAAAUAUUUGGAACUUAUAUUUCAUGUACCAUUAUAUUAAAUUAUUUAAAUAUUACAUAACUUAAAAUGUCCUUUUCUUUAGACAUGAUAGACUUUUAACGGGAAUUUUUUGUAGUAACGGAGAACACCAAAAACUAAUGAGUACAUUUUUUCAUAGCACUUUUCUACCACUUUUCAACUACAACGGUAAUGGAGAACUAAUCCUUACUAAAGUUACCGAAGCACUAGCUUCCACUGUAGCCAUUGAAAUGGGGCUCCAAUUGGGAUUGCAACACAUUAUUAUUAAAAGAGAUGCUCUCUAAGUGGUUUCGAAGUUGAAGGAAGACAAAGAAGACCUACCAACAAUCGGACCUUGAUAGCAAAGAGUUGAAUACUUGCUAAACAGGUUCAGCAAUGUAGGUUUCAACAAAGAAAGAGGCAUGCUAAUGAGGUGGCACAUCAUCUGGCCAAACAGGGUGCAAUGCCCAAUUUCUGCCCGGGCCUAAUCAAAACAGCCCAAAGCAGAAAGCCCAAUUUUUCUAGACCUAGCCCACAACUAUUUUCAGCACCACCAUGCACCCAUUUUCUCCACCACUCUUCCACUCCAGAACACCCACGAACGGUUUCCCUCCAUGCCAUACAUACCUGCAAAAUAGAUUAAUGACUCAUAGCAGUUGACAGUAGAAAGAAAUAACAACAGGAAACGGUUUUGUACUUGGCUAUAAAGCCUUUGAAUUUUUCAUUGUUUGGUUUUUUUUUCUUUCUUUUUUUUUUCAGAGAGAUUGUACACGAAAUACAUACAAAAAUCAAUAGAAAGCAAUUCAAAGGUGAUUUAUCGCUAUUUAUUGUGUUUUUUUUUUCAAUUGGGUUUACAUACAAGUAUAAAAUAUAAGAGAGAACGAGAGGCUUACCGGAGUUAUAUCGCAUUCACGCCGUCGGUAGGACUAGCUCCGUUGGUCACGAACAGAUUUUGGGAGUGGUUGGGGGCUUGAAAGGAGCCUUUCGGCUGGAGAAUAAAGGGAGAGUGAGGGAGAUGAUAUAAUAUCCAAGGCAUUUAGGGUUUUUUUUUUUAAAUAAAAGUUAAAAAGUUUUCUUUUAAGCACAAUUUUUAAAGCGGGUUUUAGGUGAUAAGAAUGAAACAGCAUGGGGAAGGGAAAGGAAUAGCGUGUUUAACUUGGUCCACGUGCAUUUACCCCUUAAAUGGGUAAUUUUCGUUAUCAGUCCUCCUUACUUGCGUCACCCUUUAUUUGAUCCUAUUCUGUUUCUUUUAUUUUUGCCUUGAAUUUUGCGCACCGUUCCAAUUUAGUCCGAGCAUGAGUGUUGCUUUUUUGGGGUUGGGAACAUUUUCAAUUUUAGCCCUUAUACAUUCACGCGCAUUGCGCUUUGGUCCCUAUUUCAAUUUCAAUGGUUUUUUUAUUUGUUAAUUGUCCCUUUAAUUUUGCUUUUCUUCCAAUUAAGUUUUUAUUUAUUUUUUCCAUAAAAUAAGAAUAUAUUAUUUUAACAUAUAGUUUUGUUCAACAAAAUUCAUAUAUAUUUUUGUAUAUAUUAUUUUAACAAAAUAAGAAUAUAUUGUUUUCUUCAUAUGCAUAUUUAUUUGUUUUUUCUUCCAAAAUAAUUUCAUAUAUCAUUUUGUAUUUAUAUACUUUACUUAUAUUAAGUUUGCUUUAUAUCAUGUAUAUACGUAACUUAUACUAAGUUAUCUUUACUCUAAGUGUACAUUAUUGACUUCCUUUUAUUUUAUGUAAAUAUUUCCUUUUAUUUUAUUUUUUUAUGUAUAUUAUUGAUUUUAUGUUAUUUUAUGCUUGUUUAUUUUCUUCUAAGGACCCUAUUUUAAAUGGUAUAUUUUAUUUAUUUUCGUAUGCUAGUACCUUUGUUUUUUUUAUGUAUAAAUUUUCAUUUCAAGUAUUAUUUAUUUAGAUUGACAAAUACUAUGCUAUGUAUUACUUUUUUUAUAUAUAUACAUUAUGUGUCUUGAAAUAUCGUUUAUAUAUUAUUAUGUCGUACAUUAUUUUUAUUUUUAUUAUUUUUUGACCUAUUCCAGACUGUCAUAUAUGUUACCUUAAGAUUUUUAUACAUUUGUUUGAUUGCAUACUAACGAUUCCAAAUUGCAUUUCUUCUAUAUUAUCUAUAUUAUUUGUUAAAACUUGCCACAUACUUUUAUCUCAUGUACAAAACUAAGCUUGUACACAUGUUAUUGCAUCAUGAUCUUUAAAUUCCAACUCUUUGCCCAACAUCAAUCGUUUUUUAUCCCCAAGCAAACCAAACAAGUAUUUUUAAUUCGGUUUUUAUAACUGUUAAUUUAAAAAUUUCCCAAAACAAAGGCAAUGUUUGAUGUUUGAAAUUUUGGAAAUCGUGCCCUAACGUACUGGGUUUCGAUUUUUCGUUUAUCCAAAAUAAUCAAGUAUCCCCUUUAAAGUUUCGUAUGUGUUUUCUAAACUUCAAAACAAGGCAAUGUUCUAUGUUUUGGAAAUCCGAGAAAUCGUGCCCUAACGUGUUGGAUUUCAAUUUUUCGUUGGACCAAAUGAUCGAGUAUCCUUUUGAAAUUUCAAAUAUAUGAGCUUUUGGAAAUUAAGACUCGGUUGUGGUUUCGAGGGUUUAGAAAGUUAUGUCUUAACGUGCUGGAUGUGAUAUUUUAUUCCUUCAUAACAAAAGAAUUCUUAAUGACCAAUUUGAGUUAUUCAAAUAUUUUAAAAGAAAUAGUAUUUCAAAAUAUCUUUUAAAUUUUAGACAUAAGGACAUUGAUUAAUCAAUUAGGUACCAAUUUUGGGCGUCACGAGGGUGCUAGCCCUUCCUCGUGCGUAACCGACUCCCGAACCCUUUUUUCUCGACUUACGUAGACCUGAAAUUAUUGUUUUAAUAAAUCAAAAUGUUUUAUUAAAAUGAUCAAUUUCAAGGUGAUCCGAUCCCACCUCAGAAGGGAUCGGUGGCGACUCCAAACUUUGAUUUUUCAAAGUCGAUCCCCGUUUUUUUCAAACUUUUAGAAAAUGGUUUCGACACAAGGCCUUAAUUGUUUUCCAUCUUUUGUUCAUAUGUUUGUUUUGAAAAGGUAAAACAAAUCCUCACCUAUUGAUGUUAGAACGGUUGAAUUGCUAAAAGCAUGCUGCGUGCAUAACCAUGCUUUAGGUUAGGCUUCAAAUCAAAUAAAUUUUAAAUUAUUUUUAUUUGAAUUUAAUUAUAAAAAUAUAUUAAUAUCAAUAUAAAAUUAUAUACAAUUUUAAGAUAUUUUAUUUUUCAAUAAUAAAACGAAUCAUCUACCAACCCUAAUUCUUCAGUUUUCUUUUUAAUUAGAUGAUAACUCAAGCCAAGCUAACCAAUAAACACCCAAAAUCUACCAUCAUUUUCAUUUUUUUUUCUUUUGUCACAAAGUAGACAGAAGAUUCGGUUUGGAUAAGCUCUACGUUAUUAAGUCAAAAGCUGAAGUAAUUUUAAUCAUAAAUUGUUUUAUUUGUUUAUAAUGCAAAACAAUGACCCAAUUAAUACAAUAAAGCUUUAACUUUGUGGGAAUUUUCAGUCCAAAAAAAAAAAAACAAUUUGUGGAAAUUUUAGAGCAGUUGACCAUUUCUUCCGAAUUAGUUUUCUCACUUCUUGUCCAUAUUCCAUGUAUAUUAUUUCAAGAAAUUAGGUUUAGAAAAUUGCAUAAUUCAACCAUUGAACUAAUAAAUAUUAAAGAAAAAUUGGGUGGCAAAAAUAUCUUAUUAAAAGCGAAUCAUAUACUAUUAAUAGAUUUUAUGAUUAAAUUAGUUUCACGUGUUAACGGGAUAUUAACUUGAUUUAGUAAAUUAUAAAAAUGUCUUUUAAUGUUUAAAAUAAAUUAUAUUAUUUGAAGAUAUUUUAAUUUUUUUAUUAAAAAAGGAUGAUGUCUCAAAUUAACUCACAAUCUAAUUUAAUUUUUUAUUUUAAUAUCGUAAAUGUUUCAUGUUUUAUUAUUAAUUUGUUUCAAAUUAUACAUUUCAUUAUUUAUUUUAUGUUAUUUUUAAACAUAUUUGUGUUCUAAAUACCAAAUUUUCACUUAAGGGUAUCAGAGACGAAUCUAGAGAGGCUAGUAGGGGCCCCGGUCUCCUUAAAAUGAAAAUUAUUAUUUAAGCCCUUUAGAAAAUUUUAAAAUUUUAAAUUAGUAAAUGUAAAAUUGCACUUUGACCCCCUAAAAUUAUAAAAAUUUAAUUUAAUCUUUUAAAAAUUAUAAAGAUAUAAACUAGUAAAAAUUAAAAUUUCAUUUCGAUCCUCCCUAAAACAUAUUUUUGGCUUCACCUAAAGGGUAUGACUAGUAUGAAUAAUUUUCUUUGGAAGUCUUAAACAAACAGGAGUUAAGUAAAAAGGAGUUUUCAUACAUACAUAUUCGGCGUUGAUGUUUCCCUUUCGAAAAUUUAAAUUAAGACAUAGGAAAAGAAACUAAAAUUGAGCUUAAUUUAUGCAGUUGGGUUCAAAAUUUAAUAUUUAAAUAUAAAAAUUCUAAUAAUUCGAUCUGGUCCGUUUCAUCUAGCAGACUAAUAAUAAAUCUUAAAACAUAUUAUAUUUUAAUUUUAAUAAAACCAAAACUGAUACAUUUGACCUACAUCUACAUGUGAUCUAUGCUUAAUUAAAUUAGUCUAAAUUAGACGAGAUCUUGAUUAGGAGUCAUUUAUUUAUAUUAUAAGUCCCUGAAACAUGCAAAACUUACAUUUAAAAAUUAAUAUUUUUACGUUGUUGUUAGAAUAUAGGGUUUGUUAAUGUUUUCGUGUGAAGUCAGCUGUUGACAUUACCAACCAGAUAAUGAAAAGGGAACAUGGCAAUUAUUCCAUCCUAAUUGUCACACACACACACACACCUAAUUAAGUUAAUCCAAAAAUUACCUAACGUUUAGCAUUUCAAUGGUAGAGUCAGCUCUUUCUUCUAGUCUAUCAAAAAAAAAAAAUCAAUUUAACCCCUAACUCUUGGAUGGAAAAGUUUUUGCUAUGAACUUGUUGAAGUGAAUCUAAUGUGAUAUAAACACAUCACAAUCCAUGUGUGUAAUUAAAAAUAAUAGAGAGAGAUUGAAUAAUUUAAAGGGAAAAAAAAAGAAUUUACUCCCUCCACUAACAGGUAACUCUUGCAGCUUGAAUCUACAACGUAUGUAUGAAAGUGAACACCUUUAAUUAAUGAAUAAAUACUAAAGUUCUAGGUUUAGAAUUAAUUAAAUAUCAAUACAAAAAGUUAAUUACUUUUUGAAAUAAGGAUAAAUCGGUUUUUGAGGUUUGAUAAUUUUUCACAUAUCGAGGUUUGAAUUUUUUUAUCUUAAGUUCUAAACUUGACAAUAGUUCUCAAGAUGUGAAGGUUUUUUUUUUAUCCAAAUUAGGCUAUGAACUUAGAUAGAAAUCUUAAAAUUCAACCCUAAUGUAGGUAUAAUUGUCAAGUUAAAAAAAAUUCAAAUCUUAAUAGAAGAAUAAUCUACUAAUUGGUAACCCUAAUAUAAAAACAAUUGUUAAGUUGAAAACUUAAUUUUUUUUAAAAAUUCAAACCCUUAUUAACUUUAGGAUUUAACCCUUUGAAAUAUUGCGUUAAUUAAUAAGUGUAAGAAUUAUUUUGUGUUAAUGAUUAAAUAAAUAUUUAAGUGGAGAUCAAGUUUUACCUCAUUUGUCAAUUGUCAGGUGAAGAAUAUAUACCCUAAAGGCCUAUCAAAAACGGACCUAUCUCUAUAUAUCUUUACUAAUUUACUAUUCAUUUUUAAUGAAAAGCAAUAAAUUAAUGAAAACGCUAUAAAACGAAAACUACAUGAAUAAAUUAUAUGUGUAAAAUUGAAAUAUUUCGUGACGACAUUAUUGAAAAAAAUAAUCAUUAACCUUAAAUAUAAACAAUUAUGACAUUUCUAUAAAAUAUCAUUUAAUAUAUUGCAUCAAAGUUUUAAAAAAUGUUAUGUGUAUACUUUUACCUCGUAUAAAAAAGUCUUUCAUUUCUCAAUUCUUAUGGCAUAGUAAAUUUAUUAUUAAUUUUUAAAAAAAAUGGUUAUUAUUUGUGUAUUAAAUAAUUAUUGGGAUAAAUUUUAAAGUUGUACAUGGAUUUUGGUUACAUGUUAAUUAUAAACAUUAACUUUGAUUUUAUAUAAUUUUAUAUAUGAAAUUUUAAUUUGAUCCAAUUCUCAUAAAUUAUUAACAUAAUUAUUGAUAUAAUAUCAUUUUAUGUUUAUAUGCUAUAUACAGAAAUAAUUAUAUUUAUUCAAUAUAAAAAUUAAUUGAUGUAUUUAUUUCUUUAAACGUAUAUGAUUGAAUCAAAAUUAAAACAUCAUGUAUACAUUUGAACCAUAACUAAAAUUUUACAUAUAUAAUUAUACAAAAUUACAAUUCAUAUACGUAAUAAACUAAAAUUCAAUUUUUUUAUAAAAUUAACCUAAAAAAUUUAAUUAAUUACAUAAAUGACCCUUUUUUUUAUUAAACACGUAAAUGACCUAAAAUCUACCGUGAAAAUUGGUGGAAGCAAAGAGUUUGGCACCACCAACAUGCCACGUCAGCAACCAAGAUAAAAAAAAUCAACUUUUUGGUAGAGCCAUGCAUAAUAGUGCUACUUGUAUAAAUAUCAGGAAAAUACUAUAAUUUCUAAAAAAUAAGGGACUUUAAUAAAAAAAAAUUCUAUUUUCUGGUGGAGCCAAAUAAAUUGGCGCCACCAGUUUCCAAUGUGAUUUUUUUUAAAGUUUUCUAAAAUUUUAAAUAUAUUAAAAAAUGUUAAGUAUAAUUAAUUUUAAAAGUUUAAUAUAUUUAAAAAUUUAAUAUACUUAAUAUAUAUUUUUAAUAGGUAAAGAAAAAAAUGAUUUUUUAAUAUAUUUAAAAUUUUAAAAAACUUAAAAAAUUUAAAUACUUUAAAAAAUAUUAAGUAUAACUAAUUUUAAAAUUUUAAUAUAUUUAAUAUAUUUUUAAAAUAUUUUUAAAAUUUUUAAUAUAUUUAAAUUUUUUAAAGUUUUUUAAAAUUUUAAAUAUAUUAAAAAAAAUUUCCUCAUUACCUAUUAAAAAUAUAUUAAAUAUAUUAAAAUUUUAACAUAUAUUUUUAAAAUAUAUAUUAAAUAUAUUAAAAUUUUAAAAUUAGUUAUACUUAACAUUUUUUUAAUAUAUUUAAUUUUUUACUAUUUUUUAAAAAUUUUAAAUAUAUUAAGAAAAUAUUUUUUAUAUUUACCUAUUAAAAAUAUAUUUUAAGUAUAUUAAAUUUUUAAAUAUAUUAAACUUUUAAAAAUAAUUAUACUUAACAUUUUUUAAUAUAUUUAAAAUUUUAGAAAACUUUAAAAAAAAUUACAUUUGAAACUGAUUGGCUCCACCAGAAAAUAGAAAAUUUUUAUUAAAGUCCCCCCAUUUUUUAGAAAUUAUAAUAUUUUUUUGAUAUUUAUACAAGUGGCGCCAUUCUACAUGGCUCUAUCAAAAAGUUGAUUUUUUUUAUCCUGGUUGCUGACGUGGCAUAUUGGUGGAGCUAAACUCUUUACCUCCACCAAUUUUCACAGAAAAUUUUAAGUUAUUUAUGUGUUUAAUCAAAAAAAUAGAUCAUUUAUAUAAUUAAUUAAAUUUUUUAAAUUAAUUUUAUAAAAAAAACCCUAAAAUUCAUAUAUAUAACUGUAAGAUUUAUGUCCACAAUUAUCUAAAGCUAAUCGGUGAUAAUUACUAUGGAAAUUCAAUGUACUUAACUAAUUGAUUGAUAGGAACAAGCAUGAUGAAAUCCAUGAUUGGGAAGAGAGAGAAUUCAAAAACUGAACGCCCCAUUAAUCCAUGCGAAUAAACUUUUUCGGUAUACAUCAUAAUUCAUUUAAUUUUAUCAUUAUCUCUAUGCUAUAAUUAUGUUUAAACUAAAAUACUUGAGACAUUAAUAGUUUGUGUUAUAUAAAUUAUGAUAUCCAUAUAUCCAUAUUAUAUAUAUAUUUUUAUAUUAUGAAUGCAUUUAAAAAAAAAUUAUGAAAAAUGUAGAGUCCGCAAAUAAAAAAUGGCUUACAAAUUAACAGAAAACCAAUUUUAUUUCUUGUAAAUUGAUUUACCAUAUUAAAAAGUGUAAAUCUUUUUUUAAAUUUAUUUACGAGUAAUUUUAUUUUUAUAAAAAUUAAUUUUAGCCAAGCCUAAUAUUAUUUUAUUAAUAAUAUUAUUUUUAUUUUUAUUUUUAAACAAUUUAAAAUUAUUAAUAUCAAAUAUUAUAAUGUUGAAUCCUAGUAACAUACAUAUUAAAUUAUUUAUAUUAUGUUAUAUUACAAUUUUAUUUUAAUAAUAAAUUUUAACAACAAUAAUUUUAAAUUUUAAAUCGUAUUUUUAAUAUAUUAUUGAAAAAUAUUUAUAUUAAUAUUUUAAUAAUAAAUAUAUAUUAAAAUUUAUAAAUAUUUAAUAAUAAAUUUUUUAUAGUAUAAAAUAUGAAUAUUUUAAUUAUAUAGAUAUGAGUAUUUGUUUAAAUCAUGCUUAAGUUCAUUUAUCUCCCAACUCUAAUGUGUCAUUAUACACUGUCAUAUAUAUAAUAUAUGUAAUUUAAGCAUUAUUUAUUAUUAAAUUUAUAUAUGAUAUUAAUUAUAAUAAAAUAUUAUCUUAUUAUAAAAGAAAUUCCAAUUGUCAAAAAGAAAUGUUACUCUAAUAUUUUGUAAUAAGUAUAUUUAUAUUGUAUUUGUUUCACUAAUAACAAAUUUAAAAUGAUUUUAGAAAAAAAUAUCAAAAAAUAAAAAAUAUUUUAAUCAAAAUAAUUCAAAUAAAAAAAACUAAACUUUUCCAUGAAAUCAAUCCAAUUUUAAGAAAACAUUAAAAUUGUUUUAGGUGAAACAAAAGGAACCUAUAUUUUAUAUAGUAUUUGAAAAGUUGUUGUAUCUAGAAUUAUUAUCUUUAAUUUUUUUUAGGUCUAUUUCUAAUUUUCAAAAAUUGAGAAGUUAAUUUCUCUAUUUUACUUUAUCAGUCCGUGCUUAUUUUUUAUUAAUUUGUUGUGUAUAAAUGGUUAAACUAUUGAUUUUUGUUAAUUACUAGCAUGUAAAUUGUUAAACUACUUGUUCCCAAGUCAACAGUAAAGCUUAAUAGUAUUAUCAAUUUGGAAUAAUUUCUGAGAUUUUUCUUUUAUUUUGCGUGAUUAAGAUAUUUUUCAUGUACGGUUUAAGGUUUAUGAAGACUAAUCCUUUCGAGUUUAUAACUACCCUUUUUAAUAAUGUCGUCUUUAAAAUUCGAGUUCUCUUUCUUGUAAGUACAAUAUGCCUUACAUUUAUAACUAAUACUUCUUAUUUUUGUAAAAUAUAAGAAUCAAAUUAUGUAGUAAGAUUAAUUUCUAGAUUUUUUAAAUUUAAAAUUUAACAUUUAAAAUAUUAUCAAUCACAUCACACACAAAACCAAAGAGCAAGAGAAUCUAAAAAACACGUGGACCAUUAAUUUAGGAAUGGACAGAAACUCAUGCAAAAUGGUUGGAAAACACGUACAGGAUUAUAUAUACUAAUCAUUUUUAUUAUUAAGCAGAAUUGGAAAUAAAUAAAUACGGGCGAAACCACUGAAUAAUACAGCAUUGAAAUGCAAUUUGUCUACAUCAUUAUUGUUCUUCACUUCAAACGCGGAGACUAGUCUAGGGUCCCAAUCUUUUGCUUUAUCUCUCUAGAUAUAUCCUUUUCAAACUAUCUUUUUGUAGCUUUAUUUGCAUCACAGCAUUAUCUUUUCCUGCAAACAACUGUUUAAAGAUUAAAACAUGCAAAACAUUCUGAAAUAAUGCACCCUGACCAGAUGACAAAAAAAAAAGAGGAUUCUAAUGUAUCUUACCUUGGAUUGGAGCACGGUCAAAGCCGUGGCUUAGUAGUGGUGAGGAGGAGGGGGUGAAGCGUAGACAUAAUGGGGUGGGGGUGGAGGAGGAGACUUGUAUUUGUAAACUGGAGGAGGAGGUGGUGGAGACUUGUACUUGUAAGGGUGCUUGGGGGGUGAUGGUGGGGGUGGUGGGGGUGACUUGUACUUGUAGGGGUGCUUGGGUGGUGACGGUGGGGGUGGGGACUUGUACUUGUAAGGGUGCUUGGGGGGUGAUGGUGGUGGUGGUGGAGGUGACUUGUACUUGUAGGGGUGCUUGGGUGGUGACGGUGGUGGUGGUGGGGGGGACUUGUACUUGUAGGGAUGCUUUGGUGGGGAUGGUGGUGGUGGUGGUGGGGACUUGUACUUGUAGGGAUGCUUAGGUGGGGAUGGUGGUGGUGGUGGAGACUUGUAUUUGUAAGGAUGCUUUGGUGGUGAUGUUGGUGGAGGUGGUGGGGACUUGUACUUGUAAGGGUGCUUGGGUGGUGAUGGAGGUGGAGGUGGUGGAGACUUAUACUUGUAAACUGGAGGUGGUGGGGGUGGAGACUUGUACUUGUAGGGGUGCUUGGGUGAUGAUGGAGGUGGAGGUGGUGGAGACUUAUACUUGUAAACUGGAGGUGGUGGGGGUGGAGACUUGUACUUGUAAGGGUGCUUGGGUGGUGAUGGUGGGGGUGGGGACUUGUACUUGUAGGGGUGUUUAGGUGGUGAUGGUGGUGGUGGUGGUGGGGACUUGUACUUGUAAGGAUGCUUGGGUGGUGAUGGUGGUGGAGGUGGAGGAGACUUGUACUUGUAAGGAUGCUUGGGUGGUGAUGGUGGUGGAGGUGGUGGAGACUUAUACUUGUAAACAGGAGUUGGUGGGGGAGGAGAUUUGUACUUGUAAGGUUUCUUGUGUGGUGGUGGUGGAGGAGAGUAGACCGGAGGAGGCGGUGGGGGAGACUUGUAAUGGUAGGGUGGUGGUGGGUAUUUCUUAGGAGGUGGUGGAGGAGAAGAAUAAGUGUAAUCUGCAGAGGUUUCAAAAGGCAAACUGAGAGACACUGCUAGAACUAAAAGAGUGAGAAAGAGAGAGGUCAUUGAUGACCCCAUUUCCCCCAACUUUACUUCUAAAAAUGGGUUUAAUUUGGUUUAUGCUCGUAGACACCCUCUUCUCUCCCUUUAUAUAGACUUUGUUUUAACCUUAUAAUCUUCAUUUAAAUAUUGGGAAAAAGAAAAGGGCACAUUUUCAUUUCUUGGAAGUAAUCAGAAAUAACUGGAGAAUCAUUGAAUUUGAGUUAUAAUAUUGAGGUUGCUAGCUAAGCAGCGAAUACAGUAAUAGUGAUGUGAUGUGUAUAAAAUACUUUUAUGUAUUUGGCUCGUAGUUGACUUUAUACAUAUAACUUUUUACAUGUACGUAUGAAAUUAGACAUGAUAAUAUUAAUAUUAAAUGUGAUACGAUAUAAAAUAAUUAAAUUUAACAUAACAGGAAUACCUCAAUUCUUGUGUAAUUGUUAUGGUCAAUUGUACCCUCCGUUCCUCUGAUUAAACAAAAUUUAAGAUUUUGACACCAAUAAAAAAAAUUAAGAUCUAAUUCUUAAAUUUUAGAAGUUAAAAAAAAAUAGUCUUGACCUUAAUCUUACUGAAUUUAAAAUUUUUAAAAUUUGAUAUCCAUAUAUAAGAAAAAAAAUUAAAAAUUUUAAUUCCCACUUUUUUUUGUCAAAAUUACCAUCAACUCAUGCAUGUAAACAAAUUUUGACAAAAGAAUACCAACUAUAAUUAUAUACUGGGUGUAACACCCUAAACCCGGCCUAAACGUCCAGUCCAAGUUAGAAAGUUACAUCAUCGAUACUCAAAUACCUCACAAGUAGCACAAUAAUACUAAACCAUGCUUCACAUAGUAUUCAUCACAAAGAUUAGUUAAGUGUAUAAUCUUCCAAAGUCAAAUUAUCAUAGUUUACCAAAACUCCGUACGUAAUACUUUAAGAAAGAUAAAAGCUUGAUUGAGCUCCUGCGACACUGACCCGAUCAAGACUGGCAACCACCUGAAAUCCAACCAAUAGCAAAAUAAGUUGUGAACUCAGUGCAUAAAAGAAGUUUGUUCAACUAAUGCUCACUUAUAAAAUAGUUCUGAAUUCAAAGAUUCGGUUCGAUACAGAAGUAAUUUCAGUUCAGACUCAGAGCAGAUUAGUUCCAUAUAUAUAUAAGCAAUUUCAGUUUCAUAUACGAUACAGAUCAGAUUCAGAUGCAAUAUUCCUACCCUCAUCCGCUACAUACCGUCUUCGGCUAUCCCAACACACCUUUAAGGACAUUCAAUGUCCAACCAACCCUGCACACCUUAGAGUGUCCGUUUGACACUUUUACAGAGACGCAGCUUAGCUGCUAGAUCAGAAUGCAACAAAGCGCCAGAAUCAGAUUUAUACGCAUUAUGGCUUAGCCACUAAUUCAGAAUAGAUUACUUCCUUCUUCACAAUACCCCAACCCAUGCAAAUGCAGAGCAUAAUACCCGUUUCAUGUAUUCAGUCAUUUUAAUUUAUUUCACAAAUAGAUAAAAAAGUUUAACAUCAUAAUAAGUAUCAUAGUAUACAUACAACUAUGUUACUCCUACAUCAGUCUCAGGGUAUCAGACCGUUCUCAUAUAAUCAAAUUCAUUCAUUCAUACAUUAAGGAGGACAGUAUCAGUGUUAAGCAAUAUUCACGGCCUCAAAAACAGGUUUCGGGCUCCAAUAACAUGCCACAUGGUUUGGUCACUUGCUCAUGUCCUCUACCCGUAUGGUUCUAAAGCAUAAACAUUGAGUUACACGGCCAGGACACACGCCCGAGUCCCUGCCCGUGUGACUCACUCGAAUUGGGCACACACCCAUGUCCGUGGCUGUGUGGUAGUGUACCAAAAUAGUGAUACACGGUCCAGACACACGCCCGUGCCCAUUGCCCGUGUGAACCCUACACUAAAAUGGCCACACACGGCAUAGACACAUGCCCGUGUGUCUUGCCCGUAUGGCCCCAAAUCGAUAAACAGUGAGUUACACGACCAACUACACAACCUGCCACAUGGCCUGGACACAAGCCCGUGAGACCAGCCAUAUGGCAUCGACAGCCACCAUUUUCUGCGAUCGAAACUUGCAAAAAUUAAGGUUUCCAGUACGCACUUGGUUUCACUUUAACGGAAAAAUAAUGCGAGGACUACCCGAAACCUAAUUAACCACCCAAUAAUCAAUUACACCAUCUUUUUUAAUAUUUUACUAAAAUCAACCUACCAUCAAGAUCAUGUCGAAAGUUUCGACGUAACCCCAACUCAAUUUGCAUACUUACCUCGCAUGAAACAGAGGAAAUCAGGCUAAAGCUGCGGAGUAACAUCUCUUGUAAUAUCCUCGCCUGAAAAAGUAACCAAUUAAGUGUUUAAACAGAACGUUCUAGCAAACGAUCAAAAUCGCGUUUCAUUAGAAUAAUGUUAACAAGAUGGAACUCGCAAAACGAAAGGAGGUAACGACGAAACUUACACAAUAAUCGCACAAUCGAACUCACAGGCAACGAAAAAUUCCCAAUUAAUGCAAAAUCAAAUACAGUAAAAAGUAAAAAGAAAAGAAAAAAGAAAAAGAAAAGAGAACCAAGAACUUAGGAAAAUGAAAAGAAGAAAUGAUAGAAUUUCUUCAAAAUGUUUUAAGUUAACCACCAUCCCACAUUCCGACAUUUGAAAAAAAAAUCCUAACCCAUACGAUAGGGCUUGAACUCGGAACUAGACAGAAUACAAACAGAUGCUUAACCAGUGAACCAGUAGGCUCAUUCUUAACACCCAGAAUUGCACUUAAAUACAUAACACAUGGAUAAAGGUUUUUUUUUUAAAAAAAAAACAAAACUUUUAAUGAUGCAACUCAAACUCCAAACCUUAAACACAAUAGCAGAACACAAAGCCACAAAUGCAGAAAUUUAAAUACUGCAGAUUCUUACAAUUAAAUUCUUAAAAUUUUAGGGUGUUACAAUUCUCUCCCCUUAACAAAAAUUUCAUCCUCAAAAUUUUACCUGACUCAAACAGAUACGGAUACAACCGUCGGAUUGAUUCUUCAGGUUCCUACAUGGCUUCCUUAAUACCGUGGUUUCGGCAUAAAACUUUUACCUGUUUAGAUUGAGCACCUUGCUUAACCGUCGUAGGGACCUAUGACGCUUCUGAACAAUUUAUCCCCAUUCGACCGGAGUUGUUCAGUAAAUGACCCUCGGCUUCUCGAUCUUGAAUAGGUCCCUACGACGCUCUCCAGUACUCGAAUCAUAGCUUGAGAUAGUGUGUCGUCCCCAAUCGUCGGAGUUUGAGACUUCGUCUCAACAGUGGGAGUACCAACUGUUUCGUUGGGCUCCAAGUUAGGCAUAUUACAUAUAGAGGAUGACUCCACUCGGUUUCCUCCUCGACGUCUUCGAUACCCUCAAACACCUCGUCCACGACAACUGCGCAAACCCAUUACAGUAAUCUAGCUACAAUAUCAGAGUGCACAAAUUAGUUCAGACAUCCAACGAGAUGAUUUCACCAGUUUACAUCAAAACAUUUAACCAAAAAAUAGUUUAGGUAUUACAAUAUUUAUAACAGAAUAGAAAUACUUAUAGGGUCAACGUCGGAGGCUCGAUCAUUCACUAAAGUUUCGGUGUUUCCAUAUUAAUUCAGAUACAGAGUUAUCACUAAACUACUUUUCUCACACAUUAUGAGCUCAAACACAGUCCAAAUGUUGACAAACCUGGCUUUGAUACCACUAAAUGUAACACCCUAGACCCAGCCUAGACGUCCAGUCCAAGUUAGAGAGUUACAUCGUCGAUACUCAAAUACCUCACAAGUAACACAAUAAUAAUAAACCAUGCUUCACAUAGUAUUCAUCACAAAGAUUAGUUAAAUGUAUAAUCUUCCAAAGUUAAACUAUCAUAGUUUACCAAAACUCCUAACUUAAUUAGUAAAAGAAAGAUAAAAGCUUGACUGAGCUCCAGCGGCACCGAUCCGAUCAAGACUGGGAACCACCUAAAAUCCAACCAAAAGCAAAAUGAGUUGUGAACUCAGUGCGUAAAAGAAUUUUGUUAAACUAAUGCUCACUUAUAAAAUAGUUCCGAAUUCAAAGAUUCGAUUCGAUACAAAAGUAAUUUCAGUUCAGAUUCAGAGCAAAUUAGUUACAGAUAUAUAUAUGAGCAAUUUCAAUUUCAUAUACGAAACAAAUCAAAUUCAGUUGCAAUAUUCCUACCCCCACUUGCUACACACCGUCUUUGUCUAUCCCAACACAUCAUUAAGGGCAUUCAAUACCUAACCAACCCUGCACAACUUAGAGUGUCCGUUUGACACUUUUACAGAGACACAGCUUAGUUGCUAGAUCAAAAUGCAACAAAGUGCUAGGAUCAAAUUUAUACGCAUGAUGGCUUAGCCAGUAAUUCAGAACAAAUUACUUCCUUCUUCACAAUACCCCAACCCAUGCAAAUGUAGAGCACAAUACCCGUAUCAUGUAUUCAGCCAUUCUAAUUUGUUUCACAAAUAGAUAAGAUAGUUCAACAUCAGAAUAAGUAUCAUAGUAUACAUACUACUAUUUUAUUCCCACAUCAGGUUCAAAGUAUCAGACCGUUCUCAUAUAAUUAAAUUCAUUCAUUCAUACAUUCAGGAGGCCAGCAUUAGUGUUAAGCAACAUUCAUGGUGUAACACCCCUUACCCGAGACCGUUUCCGGAGUCGAGCACGAGGCAUUACUUAGCUUAUCUUACCAAUUCGGAGCAUAAAAACUAGGUUUGAAAAUUUAUUUCAUUAUUCGCAGCAAAUCUGUCCAAUCGCGCAGCAGUUACUAAAUUAAUUAUAACUUGAGCUACAGAACUCGAAAUUUAAUUCUGUAAAUUUUCCCUGAAACUAGGCUCAUAUAUAUACUCACCAUAAAAUUUUUAGAAUUUUUGGUUCAGCAAAUUAGUACAGUUUAUUAGUUAAAGUCUCCCCUGUUUCACCACCUGACUGCCCUGACCUCUAGUCACUAAAAAUAAGUUUUCUCACUGUAGGAUUUUCAUGUGAAGUUCUUACUUGUUUCUACAGAAAAUAGACUCAUUAAGAAAUCUAAGAAUGUAAAUUUCAACUCAUAACCAUUUUUGUACAAUUUGUAAUUAUUUUCUAAACUCAGAACAGGGGACUCCAAAAACAGUUCUGACCCUAUCUUACUAAAAUUCACAUAUCUUAAAAUAUAAAUUUCCUUUUUCUACACCGUUAUUUUUCCAUGAAAAUAGACUCAACAAGCUUUAAUUCCAUAUAUCAUUCACCCUCUAAUUCAUUUUAUAAUAUCUUGGGUGAUUUUUCAAAUUCACGUCACUGUGCUGCCUGAAUUCUGUUUCUUUGCAAAAUUUUAUCCUUUCAUGAUUUCCAUGCAUAAUUUAUCACCUAAUCUUUCAUAACAACAAACACCUUCAUCCUUAACCAUUUUAAUAACCAUACAUCAUCAAAUACUUACACAUCACUCAUUAGAAAAAUCAUCAUUACAAACAUACAAAAUAACUAAAUCCCUAUACAUGCCAUAACUCAAACGUGUUUCGAUAUAAAAUACCGAGCAGUUGUAGUUGAUAGUGUGGACGAUCUCCGACUUCUUUAGGAUCCUUGAAGUAGCUUUGCAAUACUAUAAGAGAAAGAGAAAUAAAAGAAGUAAGCAUAAAGCUUAGUAAGUUUACUAGCAAAUAAAUAACAAUAUUUAACUUAAAUAAUUAAACUCAAUGUCUAUAUCUCUAGUUUACUCUUUAGUUAAUCUCAUACUAGUUCUCUUACUUGUUUACUUAGAAUACUUGUGUGCAUAACUUACUCAAUCCUUGCUGCAUCGUUGAACAUCAAUUGAUAGUAUAAUAAGUUCUUAAGUCUUACAACUUACCUGAGCUUGCCAUUUAUGCUUUAAACUGAACUUUCAUGAACAUGAUUCGUUUACAAGCCCGUUGAGCUACAUUGGAAUAGUAAGGAUACUCGGGUCUCUUCUGAUAAUAACAUGCCAAAGCCAUGUCCCAGACAUGGUCUUACAUGGGAUGUUCUCGUGAUGGUGCCCAUGCCAUGUCCCAGACAUGGUCUUAUAGGGGACCUCUCAUCUCGGUGCCAACGCCAUGUCCCAGACAUGGUCUUACAUGGGACCUCUCAUCUCGGUGCCCAUGCCAUGUCCCAGACAUGGUCUUACAGGGGACCUCUCAUGAUCUUAAGGAUGCCAAUGCCAUGUCCCAGACAUGGUCUUACAUGGGAUCUCUUUACCCAAAUGUCAUGACAUUCGUAUCCAGUACCAUCCUUAUGUAUCAACGGGACUUUUAAAUUUUAAUUCUCUAUCAUUUCAUGCUUGGAUCAUCAUCAAAUAAAUUCAUAAUUGCUGGAAAUUAACAGCAUUAAUAAUAAAUAUUGAAAUAUUGCAUUUAUUUACCGUAAACUUACCUCGGUACCAAUUAUAGCCAAAUUCACCAACUUAGUCUUCAACUUUAUUCUUCCCUUUGUCUAACCUCGAGUUUCGUACUUCUUGAUCUAAAAUAGUAAAUUUAACUUAUUUAAUAAUCACAUUCAUCAAAACAGCCCUCGACUCUAACUUUUUCAAAAUUACAAUUUUGCCCCUAAACUUUUACAUAAUUACAUUUUUGCCCCAAGGCUCGGAAAUUAAACUUCAUCUCUUAUUCUUAUGUUUUAUAACAUUCUGAAUAUUUUUCCCUUCUAUGGAAACAUCAAAUUCCCACUCUAACAUGUACUUAUGAACAUUAGGUAUUUUUACCGAUUAUGUCGUUUUACUCGUUUUCACUUAAAAUCGCUUAGCAAAAGUUGUUUAACAUAAUUUCUAGCUUCAUAUUCUAUCAUAAAACAUCAAAAUAAACACUUUUCACCUAUGGGUAUUUUUCCAAAUAUAAACCCUAGGUUAAAUUAUUGCUAGAAUAAGCUAAAUUAAGCUACCGGGAUCUCAAAAACGUAAAGAACAUUAAAAACGGGGCUUGGGAUCACUUACUAUGGAGCUUGGAAGCUUGAAAACCCUAACUAUGGCUUCCCCCAUUGCUGAUUUCGUUCAUAUGAAGAAGAUGAUGAUUUUUGCCAUCUUUUUCCCUUUUAAUUCAUUUUAAUUACUAGAUUACCAAAUUGCCCCUAACUUAAAAAUUUUCUAUUUCACUUAUCUCAUGUCCAUAUUUGUCUACCAAGUUACCAAUGGUAUAAUUACCAUAUAAGGACCUCCAAUUUAAAGUUUCAUAACAAUUGGACACCUCUAACAUGUAGAACUCAACUUUUGCACUUUUUACAAUUUAGUCCUUUUGACUAAAUUGAGUGCCCAAACGUCGAAAUUUUCGAACGAAAUUUUCAAAAAAUCAUUUUGUGAAAUUUUAGACCAUAAAAAUAUAAUAAAAAUAAAAUUUUUCUCAUCGGAUUUGUGGUUCCGAAACCACUGUUCCGAUAACCUCAAAUUUGGGCCAUUACACAUGGUCUCAAAAACAGGUUUUGGGCUCCAAUAACAUGCCACACGGUUUGGUCACACGCCCAUGUCCUCUACCCGUGUGGUUCUGAAGCAUAAACAGUGAGUUACAGAGCCUGGACACAUACUCGUGUCCCUGCCCGUGUAACUCACACAGCCUGGGCACACACCCAUGUCCCUAGUCGUGUGGUCUUGUACCACAAACAGUGAGUUACACGGCCCAGACACACACCUGUGUCCAUUACCCGUGUGAACCUUGCACUAAUAUGGCUACACACGGCCUAGACAUACGCCCGUGUGGCCCCAAAUCGAUAAAUAGUGAGUUAUAUGGCCAACUAUACUGCCUGGACACACGCCUGUGUGCCUGGCCGUGUGGCGUCGACAGCCACCAUUUUCAACGACCAAAACUUGCAAAAAAUUAAGGUUUUCUGUACGCACCUAGUUUCGCUUUGACUGAAAAACAAUGAGAGGACUACUUGGAACCUAAUUAACCACUUAAUAAUUACACCAUCGUUUUUAAUAUUUUACUAAAAUCAACAUACUGUCAAUAUCAUGUCGAAAGUUUCGAUGCAACCCCAACUCAAUUUGCAUACUUACCUCGCAUGAAACAGAGGAAAUCAGGCUAACGCGGCGGAGUAAUGUCUCUUGUAAUAUCGUCGCCUAGAAAGUAACCAAUCGAGUGUUUAAACAGAACAUUCGAGCAAACGAGCAAAAUCCCGUUUCGACAGAAUAAUGUUAACAAGACGGAACUGGCAAAACGAAAUGAGAUAAUGACGGAACUUACACAACAAUCACACAAUCGACCUUAUAGGCAACGAAAAAUUCCCAAUUAAGGCAAAAUCAAACAUAGUAAAAAGCAAAAAUAAACGAAAAGAAGAAAAGGAAAAGAGAACCAAGAACUUAGGAAAAUGAAAAGAAGAAAUGAUAGAAUUUCUUCAGAAUGUUUUAAGUUAACCACCAUCUCACCUUCCAGCAUUUGCAAAACAAAAAAUAUUUCCUAACGCAUAUGAUGGGGGUUGAACUCGAAACUAGACAAAAUACAAACAAAUACUUAACUAAUGAACCAACAGGCUCAUUCUUGACACCAAUUUACCUAGAAUUGCACUUAAAUACAUAACACAUGGAUAAAAGUUGUUUUUAAAAAAAAUAAAACUUUUAACGAUGCAACUCAAACUCCAAACUUAAACACAAUAGCAGAACACAAAGUCACAAAUACAAAAAUUUAAUUACUGUAAAUUCUCACAAUUAAAUUCUUAAAAUUUUAGAGCGUUACACUGAGAACCUAUCAAAUUUUAUAUAAUAUAUUUUAAAUACAAUUAUAAUAAAUAUUAAAAGUGAAAUUUGAGAUUACACCUAAGAAACAUUAUAAAAUACACCAACACAACUUAUAUACAUAAAUUGUCAAAAUCAAAUUUAGAAAACAUAUUCAUGAUUAUUAAAUCUUAAAUCUCUCACGAAUAACAUAUAAUACUGAUAAAUCCAUUAAAACACACUAAUAUCAGUACAUAUUAACAUCAUAACAAAAUUAACAAAUUCAGUAAUAUGAUAAUGUACUUAUCAAUUCAUUACAAAAAUCACAUCAAUAACACGAAUUUUCAUACUCCAAAUAGAGGUAAAAGUAUUAUGGAGACUAUUAUAAGAGUCAAAUUACAUUUUGUCCAUUCUACUAAAAAAUGUACAAAUUAAUCAUUGUACGUUAGAUAAAAAGUAAUUAAUUUUUCUGUUAAAAAUUGUAUCUAUUUUUACUAUUAAAAACUUGUCUAUGUACGUCAACAUGACGUACACGUGGCAUACCAUGUGUCACUAUCUAAUUAUUUUGUCAGGUAAACUAGUUUUUAAUAGUACAAAUAGAUAAAAAAUUUUAAAAAAAUAACUAAAUUACUCUUGAAUCUACUAUAUAAAAACUAAUAUGUAAUCUGAAAAAACCUAUUUUACUGCAAAUAGAUAAUUUUAUUGUUAUUAAUAAUUGGAUUUCUUUUCAGUUUUGUUUUCCAUGAAUUUGAAAACGUUUUAUAUGGGUACCAAACUUUUCCAUGAAAUUGCUUGGCUACGGGACCAGGCGGCUUAGACUUUCUUUGCCAGGCUGUAUUCUCCACUCUCUCUUCUUUGUCGUUUACAUUUAAUUUAAACACUCCAUUUGCCUUUUUUAUAUUUCCAUUCCCUCUGUCAAAUCCAUCAUCUUCAGUUAAUUAUCAUAUUCACGAAGAUAAUUAACUAGCUUUUGUCUUAUUUUCUGUUUUAGUUAACGUUUCAAUUGCCAUCAAUUCAAGACAAUUUGGUGAAACUUCAUUUUAUUAUUCAAAAUAUAUUAAGGAAUUAACUCUUUCAAGAGAAGUUUUUUAAGGAAAUAUAGAUUUGGAUCGUCAAGCCCCUCCCAAUGGAGGGCGGUGUACAAUUCAUGAAGAGAGACACUUAACUAAAUGGUAUCCUUAUACCUCAAUAGGAGACUUAUAUAUAUGGCAUAUGACAAGGGUUCAAUCCCCACUAAUGGCGAGAUACUCGCAUUGCGUCUUGGCGGAUGGUCAUAUAUUCACGUACGGUUGAGAUGCUCUCUUUCAUGAACCGUACACAGCUCUAUGUAGAAAGGUUGGGGACAAUACCUUCCAUUGUUAAUAGUCCAAAUUUGUGUUUUAAAAAACGACACUUCAAAAAUUUCUCCUAAAAAUCUGAAUCUAUCAUCAACAAAAACUAGUUAAGAAAAUAUUAUAAUAUUACAUUAAAAUAGAAAUAAACUUUAUUAAUUAAAUGAUAGCCUAAACCAAAAUGGGUUCAAAGUGUAGAAAUCAUGAUUAAUUUAAUCACCGGCAAGGGAUACCAGGUAGUUCUUCUAACUAACCACAACUUAUUUAAUUAAUUUACUAUAUAUUUAGAUAAAAAUAAUUUGAGUUAUUAAUAAUUGAUCCAAUUGCUUAAAGAGACGUUGGUGAUGUGCACAUGAUAUAGAAGCUUAACUAGUAAAAGAAAACAAGAUUUUAAGUAGAUUGUCAAAAUAUCUUUCUCAAAUAAAUAGAGUUUUAAUAGAAACACUGAUUAUCAAAAAAUAUAUAAAUUACUGUUUUUUUUUCUCACAAGAGGAAAAAAGGAAGUGCUGGUGUUUUUAAAGCAAAUAGAGAAUCUUUUGCUUAAAUCACUUUGAUUAAUUGCUUUACUUGCUUUGACGUUUUUAAGCUAUUUUUAGCAAAUAAAAAUAAAGCAAUACAUCUAAUCAAAUAUAUAUACUGAAUUUUACAAAUAUUAAAUUUAUAUUAGAAAAUUAUUUUUUGUAUUAAUAAAAAAUAAGUAUUAAAAACUAAUUAUAUUGUUUGAUUAAAGUAAAUUUUAUUUUUUUUAAAUUUAAUCUUAUUAAUAUAAUAUUUUAUUAUGUUUUGUAUAGUUUUUUUUUUAUAUAUAAUCUAUAGAAAUUACCCAUAAUCUUUUAUCAAUCCUUAAAUAAGAGAAUAAACACACUUUAACACGCUUGAACGUACGGCCUCCUAUACUGAUAACAAUGUCGAUGUCAACAAGCUAAAACUUAAUAGGCAUGUUUUGUUUAAUUUUGAAUAAAAGUUAAAUAUACUAAUUUGAAUAUAUUAUCUUUUGACAAAAAAAAUCCAAUAUAGUGGUUUAAAGAAAAUCAACUUAAUAAAAUUACCAAAUCCAUUUUUUAUGACAAUUUUGUCCUGAGUAAAAAAAUUAAUGGAAUUGUCAAGCAAAUUUAACAAUUUAAGUUGGUGUUUAGAAGAGCUGUGCGUGAACCUCACUCACCUCCAUUAGUCGCUGUCAUUUUCUUCACACAUCGGAGUGUGGCACUCACUCUGAUGAUUUUUCUCAUUUCGCCUCCGCCAUCAACCUCAAAGCUAUAUUCCAACCUUUCCCUCUGAAAAUUUAUUGGUUUGGCAAGGUUGAAAUUUUUGGGAUUUUUUUUUCUGUUUCUUAGGUUUUAUACUACUAGUUGAUGUCUUUUUUCGAUUAUUUCGUUUUCAUUUUCUUAAAAGUGACAGCAAUAGAUAAAAAAGGGUGAUAAGUUUCGAUAACCUAUAUUUGCAAAUUAGUCCCAUGAAUGUAGCACCCCAAACCCGACCCAGACGUUAUGGCCGGAUCCGACAUGCCACAUCGAAGCAUUCAAAAUAUUUUAUAUUGUUGAUCACGAAACAACCUACUUAGUGUUUUAAAAGAUAAUUUCAUUAUAGGUUAAAGUGAAUGGAAGCUGUGCACCAGGUAGGAAACCGGAAAAUAGGAGGUGAGUCUAUCGGACUACUUAAGUACCAAGCUCCCUUCGGAUCCAAUCCUAGACAUGCACACCGCCAUUGCCACACCUUAACGUCGUGUAUAUUUCUAGGAAACCGAUUUGAUUAAGUCAUUUUUAGGAAAAGUGAUUAAUUUUGGAAAAUACUUUCAUUGUGGAAGCUUUGCUUGUUGUCGUGUUAUUUUGAAAUCAAUUGUUGUUUUUUUUUUUGAAAACGCGUCCUAAAGCUAUCCAAUUUCAACAGUUAAAAUAAGUAAUACCUAUCUUAGUAAUACAUAUUAAAACCAUCAAAAAUAAUUAAGCGGCCUUAUUACAUUUAAAAACCCAAACCUCAACGUAAAUAAUAGGAUGUCCAGUUCACCAGAAGAAAACCAAACUUUUAGAACGGGUGGCCACUCCGAAUUCCCUCACAGCUCCAAGCCCACUAUGGUUGGGGAUUUCCUGCGUGGAUGAAAAUAAAAGGGGUGAGUUUAGGGAAACUCAGUGUGUAAGGAAAACUCAUUCAAAGCCCAAGUCAGCUCAAGCCUAUUGGGCCUAAGCCCAUUCAGGUAACAGUGGUACUAGACCAGAGCCCUUUUCAGAUUACAAUAAACUGGGCUUAGCCCCUUAUUCAGAUAACAGUAUGGCCCAAAGGCCCAUUUCAAAAUACAUGCAACAUCAAUAACAUAUGCAAGCCCAUUUGGGGAGACUACUCAACCCACCAACCACUACACUCCACCCGUACCAACCCUACACACCAUGUGGGGAAUAGCUCAACCCACCCAGCCCAACACUCCACAGUUGCAGCCUUGUUGCUCAGUUAACAGUAAAUUGAGGCAAAGCCUCCAAUACGUGGACAAGCCACUUUCAGUACUUCCUCCGUCAAUAUCCCAAUCCCAUGCAUCAGAUAAUAACAACAUGGCAUGCAGUAAAUAACAACAGUCAAAUAUGCAUUUAGGUCAAUUUAAACCUAGGGGUAUUUCGGUAAUUUUUCUACUAGGGGUAAAACUAUAAAUUUUUCACUUUUAAAGGUAUUUCAGUAAUUUAUCUAUUUUAGGGUUUUUCAUGCAUAUUCCUACUUUUCACGUACUAACAGAAUCACGUACCGAGGUUUCUUAUCGAAUUGGGCCCGUUGGCCCAUCAUUCCAAUUUUGGCCCAUUAAGCCCAAAAAUAUCGAGGGCACAGAAAUCAUGCACUUUGCAGUCCAAAUUUUGUAGCUUACCAAAAACAUUAAUCGAUUUACCUCACGAGCAUUCGUACACUCGCAAAUCUACAAAAUACCGAUUUUCGGCAUUUCAGCUUUUCGACUUUUGCCGAUCCAGACUAAGAAAGAGGGCGUUAGUUACACACCUGUUUGCGACGAUAUGCUGACGAGAUCCACACACGAACCACCUACAAUUGAAUUACUAACACGUUAAUCUAACUAUUCAAAUACAAACUACGUAUUAACCCCUUACAAUAUUCAGCCAACCACACCUAUAGAUCAUAGUAAGCUUAUAAGAAAUCAAUAAGCAACUCAUUUACAAAUUUUUGUCAAUGUUUACCACAUAAUCAUAAUUUCACUGCAAGUUGUCUUCCUGAGCAACAGUCAUUAAAUCAUUUAUAACUGGAGCUACAAAACUCCAAAUCAAGUGCCGUUAAUUUUCCCUAAAAAUAGACUCAUAUAUCUUCUAUCCAUAAAAUUUUCAGAAUUUUUGGUUUGGCCAAUCAAUACCAGAUUUUUCUUAAAGUUUCCCAUGUUUCACUGUUUGACUAAUCUGACCACUCUUCAUUACGAAUCAAAUUUCUCAUUGUACAGAAUUCAAAAUAUGUUCUUGUUUAUUCCAUUUGAAACUAGACUCAUUAAUAUUUAAUUACAUAAUUUAUGCAGCUUCUAACUCAUCUCCCACAAUUUAUGGUGAUUUUCCAAAGUCGCGUUACUACUGCUGUCCAAAGCAGAUUUAUUACCAAAUCACUCUUUUACACCUAACUUGCAUGCUUGUUAUUUAAAAAUGUAUAUCACCAAUCAAUCAUCACAUAUCUUUGAUUUUACUUAAGUAUAAUCUCCAUUUCAUCAUUUUAAAGCACAACAUGUUAGCCGAUUUUUCCCCUUAGCAUCUAAGGCACAUGCAUGCUCAUUUGUUUGGCUCAACUUCACCUAUCUUCCAUUUUUCAUCAAAAGAACAUGAAACAACAACCAUUUCCUUCAUUUUAAUUCAUGACUAAAUGCUCACAACACAACUAAAAACCAAAAUAUGCUUCAAGAGUUAAGGUAGAAUCAAGAAGAACUCAUCAGCAUCAAGAUAGAAGCAAACUACCAUGAACUUACCUUCAAUUUUCUUCCCCAAGUGACCAAACAUUCAAUAGCUUUCUCCUCUCCUUUCUCUUCUCUAACUUUAGGCUAUGAUGAACAAAGAUGGACAAAACUUUGUUAUUUUCACCCAUUUUUCUUUUAAUAAAAUUUCAUAUUUCAUCCAUUUAAUUCUUUAAUACAAAAGACAUGAAAUGCCCAUCAUGGAACAUUUACCUAAACCAUUAUCAUGGAACAUUUACCUAACCCAUUAUCAUGGAAUAUUUACCUAAUCCAUUAUCAUAGAACAUUUACCUAACCCAUUAUCAAUUUGUACCAUGAAUUAUGGAUAUCAAGUGCUCAUAUUGUCUACAACAACAUGAUGGCUGGCCACUUCAUGUAAAAUGAGAGGUUUGUCAUGCAAAUCCUCCUAUUUUGCACUCCUGUUUAUUUGGCCACUUCAAUUUAGCCUAUAGCAUUUUCAAACAUUUUCACAUAGGUUCUAUUUCAUAAUUUCACCCCCUUUUUCUUAUGGAACAAAAAUUAACGAAAAUUACCGGGUUCUAUCUUAAGCUUGGGCCUUCUAGAGGCCCACUAACAUAAUUAAACCUAUGCCAACAUUCACAGAAUUCCCGAAAAUUGAGGCAUUACAACUCUACCCUCCUUAAAGAAAUUUCGUCCUCGAAAUUUACCUGAUCCAACUAGUUGAGGGUAUUGUUGACGCAUAGUCUCUUCUGAUUCCUAAGUAGCUUCUUCCCUUCCACGAUUACGCCAAAGUACUUUCACUAACGGGACAGAUUUCCUUCUGAGAACCUUAACAUCUCGAGCCAAUAUUUGCACAGGCUCCUCCUCAAAGGUUAAAUCAGUCUGAACUUCAAUUUCAGCAACUGGCAGGACAUGAGCAGGGUCAGAACGAUAACGCCUUAACAUGGAGACGUGAAAAACAUCGUGAAUCCUGUCUAACUUUGGAGGCAAUUCCAACUGAUAAGCCAUUGGGCCUACUCGCUUCAAAACCCGAUAAGGCCCAAUGAACUGCGGACUCAACUUGCCCUUCUUACCGAACCUUAAUAUCUUCUUCCAAUGAGAAACCUUUAAGAAGACCAUAUCACCUACUGAGUACUCAAUCUCCUUACGCUUCAAAUCUGCAUACGACUUUUGUCUAUCAGAUGCCUCCUUUAAUCGAUUCCUAAUUAUUCUGACCUUAUCCUCAGUAUCAGCUACCAACUCUGGUCCAAGAACUUGUCACUCUCCUAGUUCGUCCAACAACUAGGUGUACGACACCUUCGUCUAUACAGUGCUUCAUACGGUGCCAUUCGAAUACUCGCCUGGUAACUGUUAUUGUACACAAAUUCUGCCAACGGCAAGUAAUCCUCCCAACUACCUCGAAAGUCAAUCACACAUCCCCUCAACAUGUCCUCCAGAAUCUGAAUAACCCUUUCCGAUUAACUAUCAGUCUGGGGAUAGAAAGCCGUACUAAAAUUCAAUCGCGUCCCCAACACCUCAUAAAACUUUUGCCAAAACCGAGAUGUAAAUCUGGGAUCCCGAUCAGAAAUAAUUGAAACUGGGACUCCAUGAAGUCGUACAAUCUCUGCCACAUACAGCUUGGCUAACUUUUGAAGCGAAAAGUCAGUACGUACAGGUAUGAAAUGGGCUGAUUUGGUCAACCUAUCCACAAUCACCCACACUGAGUCUUUCUUUGAUGGUGUCAAAGGCAACCCACUAACAAAGUCCAUGGUUACCCUCUUUCACUUCCAAAGUGGUAUCUUCACCGGCUGUAACAGUCCAGAAGGUAAUUGAUGCUCAGCUUUCACUUGUUGGCAUGUCAAACAUUUUCCUACAAACUCCGUUACUUCUCGCUUAAGUUUAGGCCACCAGUACAAUUCUUGCAAGUCGUGAUACAACUUAUUCUCUCCAGGAUGCAUGGCACAUAGUCCCCCAUGAGCUUCCUUCAAUAUUGUCUGCCUUAAAUAAGAGUCCCUCGGAACACAAAUUCUUCCUCGGAAACACAGAACUCCAUCACUAUUUAAGCAGAACUCAGAAGUUUCCCCUUCCUUAACUUGUUGAAAACGAGCGACCAAAGACUCAUCGUUCAACUGUUUUUCCUUAAUCUGAUCCACCCAGGUGGGCCUUACUUGCAACUCAGCCAACAGACUUCUAUCAUCAUACAGACUCAGACGAGCAAACAUUGCUCUCAGAUCAGAUACAGUUCUACGACUUAGAGCAUCGGCUACCACAUUAGCCUUGCUUGGUGAUACUCGAUCAAAUAGUCAUAAUCCUUAAGCAACUCAAUCCAUCUCCUUUACCUAAGGUUCAGCUCCUUCUAAGUCAACAAAUACUUAAGACUCUUGUGGUCUGUGUAUAUAAUACACCUCUCCCCAUACAAGUAAUGUCUCCAAAUCUGAAGUGCAAAUAUCACUGCCGCCAACUCCAAAUCAUGAGUAGGAUAGUUCCCUUCGUGAGGUUUAAGCUGUCGUGAUGCAUAUGCAACCACCUUACCCUCCUGCAUUAACACGCAGCCUAAACCCACGUGUGAUGCGUCACUGUACACAGAAAAAUCCUUCCCAGACUCUGGCUGAAUUAACACAGGUGCUUCAGUCAGAACUUUCUUCAACUUCUCAAAAGCCUCCUGCUGUGUCUCAGUCCAUACAAACGGUACCCCUUUCCUUAUGAGUUUUGUCAGAGGUGUUGCCAUCACAGAAAAACCUUCCACAAACCUUCUGUAGUAUCCUGCCAACCCUAGGAAGCUUCGAAUUUCCGACACCGUCCUAGGUGGCUUCCACUCUAAAAUUGCUUCAAUUUUUCGAGGGUCCACCUUAAUCCCUUCGACAGAGACCACAUGUCCUAAGAAGGUUACCUCCCUCAACCAAAAUUCACACUUGCUGAACUUCGCAAAGAGUUCCUUCUCCCUUAACACUCACAGCACUAUACGGAGAUACUCAUCAUGUUUCGCUUCAGUUUCAAAAUAUACCAGGAUAUCAUCAAUAAAGACGACUACGAAUAGAUCCAAGAAUGGUUGGAACACCCGAUUCAUCAGAUCCAUAAAUGCUGCAGGAGCGUUCGUCAAUCCAAAUGGCAUAACCAAAAACUCAUAAUGACCAUACCGAGUCCUGAAUGCCAUCUUAUGAAUAUCUGCCUCCUUAACCCUUAACUGAUGAUAUCCAGAUCGGAGGUCGAUCUUAGAAAAUACAGAAGCCCCUAUAAGCUGGUCAAACAGAUCAUCAAUUAUUGGCAGUGGAUACUUAUUCUUAAUCGUCAGUUUGUUCAACUGGCGAUAAUCAAUGCACAUCCGCAUCGUACCAUCCUUCUUUUUCACGAAUAGCACCGGUGCUCCCCAUGAAAACACGCUUGGCCUAAUGAAGCCCCUAUCCAACAACUCUUGAAUUUAAGCCUUUAACUCCACUAACUUCUCCGAUGCCAUCCUAUACGAUGCAAUGGACACGGGUGCCGUUCCAGGCAACAAAUUUAUUCAAAACUCAACUUCUCGGUUCGGAGGCAAUCUUGGAAGCUCCUCCGAAAAAACAUCUUGGAACUCCUUUACGGUCCUAACCUUAUCCACUGUCAGUCCCUCCUCUUCUGACUGACUUACAAAUGCCAAAUAGGCCUCACAACCUUUCCGAAUCCACUUUUCGGCUCUUAAAGCCGACACCACAUUGGACAAAUAAUCCCUUCAUUCACCUAUCACUAUAACCUCCUCAUCCUUUGUGGUCCUUAACAUAAUUCGUUUAGCAGCACAAUCCAGGGUCACCUUAUGCUUAACAAGCCAGUCCAUUCCCAAAAUGAGAUCAAACUCUCCGAACGGUAACUCCAUCAGCUCUCCAGGGAAAAUCCUACCUUGAGUUUCUAAGGGUACAUCCCUAUACAGUUUGUCUACCCUAACCGAGUGACCCAAAGGACUUAGUACAGAUACCCCACUCACAAUCUCCUCAGAGCAGUCCAAGUUGUCUAUAAUCAGUUCUGUGGUCUCCAACCAAUACUCCGCCACAUUCGGGGCUAUAUCAGACACGCCCCUAAAGAUCUCCGCUCCGUUAGCCCGAAGUCGUUCAGAAAUAGAUCCCCGAACUCCAUUGCCCGUACUUGCCCCGGCAACCCUUUCCAGAACACGAAACAUUGCCUGUGACAGGGCAUCAUCCUCAGCACUGCGGUCAUGAGACUCUACCUCUGUUGCUGGUGGUACCGAUGCAUCCACCGCCGGCAUAUGUCUCGAAGACGAAGAUCUCGCUCGAGCACUUCCUCGGUUCCGUCCACGGCCUCUUGUACUCAUAUCGUAUUAUCUUGAUUACGAAUUUUUAUGCAUCAAUUAAUAUUCCAGUGUUUAUUACAGAUGUUUUAUGAAUCAGACAGUAGUUCAGAGUUUGUUUUCGUAGAAUCGAAGUCUAGCUACAGUUUCAGUCUCUUAUAAGAUUUUCCUAUGCUUUCAGUAUCAUCCUAUCUAGAGUGUCCUAGUAGGGUUUCAGUAUAGACAGAUAAUUCAGGAAAAUAUUCAGAAAAGUUCAGAGUAAUACUUACAGACUUGAGCCGGAGAUUCGUAAUGCCACCUUCUAAAGAUUUAAAUUUUAAAAAUCGAUUUUUUCGCAUUCUUUAUAAAAUUUUCGCUUUCGAAAAUCUUUAUUUUUGUAACCCACAGCCGAGUUGUUGCAACCUAGGCUCUGAUACCACUAAAUGUAGCACCCCAAACCCGGCCCAAACGUUAUGGCUGGAUCCGACAUGCCACAUCGAAGCGUUCAAAACAUUUUAUAUUGUUAAUCUAGAAAAAACCUACUUAGUGUUUUAAAAGAUAAUUUCAUUAUAGGUUAAAGUGAAUGGAAGCUGUGCACCAGGUAGGAAACCGAAAAAUAGGAGGUGAGUCUAUUGGACUACUUAAGUACCAAGCUCCCUUCGGAUCCAAUCCUAGACAUGCACACCGCCAUUGCCACACCUUAACGUCAUGUAUAUUUCUAGGAAACCGAUUUGAUUCAGUCAUUUUUAGGAAAAGUGAUUAAUUUUGGAAAAUACUUUUAUUGUGGAAGCUUUGCUUGUUGUCGUGUUAUUUUGAAAUCAAUUGUUGUUUUUUAUUUUGAAAACGCACCUUAAAGCUAUCCAAUUUCAACAGUUAAAAUAAGUAAUACCUAUCUUAGUAAUACAUAUUAAAACCAUCAAAAAUAAUUAAGCGGCCUUAUUACAUUUAAAAACCCAAACCUCAACGUAAAUAAUAGGAUGUCCAGUUCACCAGAAGAAAACCAAACUUUUAGAACGGGUGGCCACUCCGAAUUCCCUCACAGCUCCAAGCCCACUAUGGUUGGGGAUUUCCUGCGUGGAUGAAAAUAAAAGGGGUGAGUUUGGGGAAACUCAGUGUGUAAGAAAAACUCAUUCAAAGCCCAAGUCAGCUCAAGCCUAUUGGGCCUAAGCCCAUUCAGGUAACAGUGGUACUAGACCAGAGCCCUUUUCAGAUUACAAUAAACUGGGCUUAGCCCCUUAUUCAGAUAACAGUAUGGCCCAAAGGCCCAUUUCAAAAUACAUACAACAUCAAUAACAUAUACAAGCCCAUUUGGGGAGACUACUCAACCCACCAACCACUACACUCUACCCGUACCAACCCUACACACCAUGUGGGGAAUAGCUCAACCCACCCAGCCCAACACUCCACAGUUGCAGCCUUGCUGCUCAAUUAACAGUAAAUUGAGGCAAAGCCUCCAGUACGUAGACAAGCCACUUUCAGUACUUCCUCCGUUAAUAUCCCAAUUCCAUGCAUCAGAUAAUAACAACAUGGCAUGCAGUAAAUAACAACAGUCAAACAUACAUUUAGGUCAAUUUAACCCUAGGGGUAUUUCGGUAAUUUUUCUACUAGGGGUAUAACUAUAAAUUUUCCACUUUUAAAGGUAUUUCAGUAAUUUAUCUAUUUUAGAGUUUUUCAUGCAUAUUCCUACUUUUCACGUACUAACAGAAUCACGUACCGAGGUUUCUUACCGAAUUGGGCCCGUUGGCCCAUAAUUCCAAUUUUGGCCCAUUAAGCCCAAAAAUAUCGAGGGCACAGAAAUCAUGCACUUUGCAGUCCAAAUUUUGUAGCUUACCAAAAACAUUAAUCGAUUUACCUCACGAGCAUUCGCACACUCGCAAAUCUACAAAAUACCGGUUUUCGGCAUUUUAGCUUUUCGACUUUUGCCGAUCCAGGCUAAGAAAGAGGGUGUUAGUUACACACCUGUUUGCGACGAUAUGCUGAUGAGAUCCACACACGAACCGCCUACAAUUGAAUUACUAACACGUUAAUCUAACUAUCCAAAUACAAACUACGUAUUAACCCCUUACAAUAUUCGGCCAACCACACCUACAGAUCAUAGUAAGCUUAUAAGAAAUCAAUAAGCAACUCAUUCACAAAUUUUUGUCAAUGUUUACCACAUAAUCAUAAUUUCACUGCAAGCUGUCUUCCUGAGCAACAGUCAUUAAAUCAUUUAUAACUGGAGCUACGAAACUCCAAAUCAAGUUCUGUUAAUUUUCCCUAAAAAUAGACUCAUAUAUCUUCUAUCCAUAAAAUUUUCAGAAUUUUUGGUUUGGCCAAUCAAUACCAGAUUUUUCUUAAAGUUUCCCAUGUUUCACUGUUUGACUAAUCUGACCACUCUUCAUUACGAAUCAUAUUUCUCAUUGUAAAAAAUUCAAAAUAUGUUCUAGUUUAUUCCAUUUGAAACUAGACUCAUUAAGCUUUAAUUACAUAAUUUAUGCAGCUUCUAACUCAUCUCCCACAAUUUAUGGUGAUUUUCCAAAGUCACGUUACUACUUCUGACCCAAGCAGAUUUAUUACCAAAUCACUCUUUCGCACCUAACUUGCAUGCUUGUUAUUUAAACAUGUAUAUCACCAAUCAAUCAUCACAUAUCUAUGAUUUUACUUAGGUAUAAUCUCCAUUUCAUCAUUUUAAAGCACAACAUGUUAGCCGAUUUUUCCCCUUAGCAUCUAAGGCACAUGCAUGCUCAUUUGUUUGGCUCAACUUCACAUAUCUUCCAUUUUUCAUCAAAAGAACAUGAAACAACAACCAUUUCCUUCAUUUUAAUUCAUGACUAAAUGCUCACAACACAACUAAAAACCAAAAUAUGCUUCAAGAGUUAAGGUAGAAUCAAGAAGAACUCAUGAACAUCAAGAUAGAAGCAAACUACCAUGAACUUACCUUCAAUUUUCUUCCCCAAGUGACCAAACAUUCAAGAGCUUUCUCCUCUCCUUUCUCUUCUCUAACUUUCGGCUAUGAUGAACAAAGAUGGACAAAACUUUGUUCUUUUCACCCCUUUUUCUUUUAAUAAAAUUUCAUAUUUCAUCCAUUUAAUUCUUUAAUACAAAAGACAUGAAAUGCCCAUCAUGGAAUAUUUACCUAAACUAUUAUCAUGGAACAUUUACCUAACCCAUUAUCAUGGAAUAUUUACCUAAUCCAUUAUUAGGAACAUUUACCUAACCCAUUAUCAAUUUGUACCUUGAAUUAUGGAUAUCAAGUGCUCAUAUUAUCUACAACAACAUGAUGGCUGGCCCACUUCAUGUAAAAUGGGAGGUUUGUCAUGCAAAUCUUCCUAUUUUGCACUCCUGUUUAUUUGGCCACUUCAAUUUAGCCUAUAGCAUUUUCAAACAUUUUCACAUAGGUUCUAUUUCAUAAUUUCACCCCCUUUUUCUUAUGGAACAAAAAUUAACUAAAAUUGCCGGGUUCUAUCUUAAGCUUGGGCCUUCUAGAGGCCCACUAACAUAAUUAAACCUAUGCCAACAUUCACAGAAUUCCCGAAAAUUGGUGCGUUACAACGAAACUUGAUGGAAAUAGAUAUCUUGUUUAGUCUUGAUCAUGUUUAUUGUUCAGCAAGGCUAGGGCCCUCCAAGGCUAUAUUACAGGUGAUAAUAAUAAGCCUACUGUUGACGAAUUUACAUUCAAUUCGUGGGAUUCAAAAAACUCACUUAUCAUUUCUUGGCUAAUCAACUCGAUGCAACCACAUAUCUCUAAAACGUAUUUAUUACUUGACAUCGCGACAAAAAUAUAAUGCAACUACUCUUACUUAUUCACAAGGGGGAAAUGAUACUAAAAUAUUUGGGAUGCAGAAUAAGAUCUGGUACCAAGCAAUGUGAGAUUCAAUUUCUUAGUAUCAUUCAAGUCUUAGUAGGCUAUGGUUGGAGUUGCAUUAAUAUCAAGACUUUCAAACAGAAUGUACUGGAGAUGCUGUUAAGUUUCAGAAACUUGUUGAAAGGAAUGAAUCUAUGAUUUUUUUAGUUGCACUCAACUAUGUGUAUGAUUAUAUCCAAGUUCAAGUUCUUGGAAAACUCAUUUUCUGUAUCUCCAAGAAUCUUAUUCCUAUGUCCAACAAGAAGAAAGUAGGAGUGUUAUGCUCUAUACAACACCUAGAGAGAAAGCAGGUUUGAUUGCUAAUGGUUCCCAAGAGCAAAAGAAAAAUGGCAAUUCUGAUAAGAAUCAUCUGGUGUGUGAUCAUUGUGGGAAAACCCAACAUACUAAAUAAUCAUGUUGGAAGCUACAUGGUCGACCCAUCAAAGGUCGAGAAAGAAAACAAAUCAAGCCAACUUGGAACCAAGUAAAUUUCUCUGAAGUUGCAAAAACGUCCAAAGAGAUGGCUCCUAGUGAGGUAUUCUCAUCUGAUGAAAUUAAGCACCUUAUACAGCUCUUGUCACAACUUGAGACUCUUUCCAAUACGUCCAAUUUUGUGAAGUCAGGUAAUGCUCAUAAUGCUCAUAAUAAUGAAGUAAGAAGGUUUAUUAAUGAAUUGAGACUCACCAACAAUAAUGGAGCUGGAAGAGGACGUCAAUUUGUGUGGUUUGAAUAGACGAAAGUUGAGCUACCUUAAGGAUCUUCUCUAGGUUGUUAAAUCGUCUUUUAGAGACUAGCUCUAAUAUCAAUUGUUAGCUUGAUUAAUCAAACCAAAAUUGCCAAAAAGGGGUGAAUUAGACUUUAAAAAUUUUGGUAGAAGCAAGGAAAGAAUAUGAAACAAUGAACACAAAGAUUUAAAGUGGUUUGGCUCUAAUUGCCUACUCCACUACCUUAGCUUUUCACAACUAAAGAUUUUCCCAAAUUCACUAAUUUGUUCAACCUUUGAGAAUAAGAUUUAACAUUACAACCCUCUUAAGAUUUUUACCCCAAAUAUUAAGAUAAACCCUCUCAAAGAAUUACAAAAAAGCAAACAAAUAAAUAAUCCUAACAAGAUCAAAAUGUCUGUCAAUUAAGCACAAGUAGACAAGAAUAAACUUGAGCAAAAGAAAGACAAUAAGAGCUCACAAGUGUGUACAAGAGAAUUGUGGAAGUAUUGAGUACAAAGGUUGUUUGAUUGAUAAUUUUUGCCAAUUAAGCACAAAUAGACAAGAACACACUUAAGCAAAAGAAAGACGAUAAGAGCUCAUAAGUGUGUACAAGAGAAGUAUGGAAGUAUUGAGUACAAAGGUUGUUUGAUUGAUAAUUUUUGCUCCAAUAUGCUUUCUUGUUGUAAGAUCUUUAAAAGUCGGUAUUUAUAUCCCUAAUUGAUUUUCAACCGUUGAGGUUAUUGUGGUAGUUAAUAAAGUCGUUGGGGAUGUGAAAAUUAGAGCAUUUAACACACCUACAAUAGCAAGUAUCAAUACCAAACAAAAAUGUAUUGAUAUUUUUUUGUAAUAAAUGCUAAAUUCUAUGACCGUUGGAAUUUAAAUAUUGAUACCAUACCAAAUUUAUCGAUAUCUUAUAAAAAGGUAUUCAUACUGGAUCGAUACUUAGUUGAUUCUGUGAGAAACAAAAUGCCAAUUUAGUAUUAUUUCUUUCAAAGGGUAUCGAUAAUUGGCCAAAAAGGUAUCGAUACUUUUUGGCCUAGAGCAAUUUUGAAUUGUUUGAAAGAUAUUUUGACUUGAUAAAAUGAUAAAAAGACCUUUUUACUUGGUCAAAAUCAUUUUAACUUAAUUUGAAAGUUGUUUCAGAAAAUUUUCUAAGAGUUCAAAAAGAUAUUUAAAAUUUUAUCUUUUAGACUUCAAUAUAAAAAAUUAUUUUAUAAAUUUUUUAUUCAAUUUUAACUUUUAUUGGAAAACAUUUUCAUUUGUUAUAUUAAAACAUGUUUUCAAAUAAAGCUUAAUUUAACAAAUAACAAUAUCACAAAGUUGUGUGUUUUGCCUUACCAAUGUCAUCUACUUAUAGGGAGAAAAAAGUAAAACCCUUUUUGAAUUGUAGAAGUUUAUUUCAAUUAGAAAAACAAACUCCUAGUCUAACUAAAACUAAAAGUAUAGGGGGCGACGGCCAUAGUUAAUAAUACUAGGGUUUAUGGUCCCUCCUUUUAACAUGAGGGGCUUUUGGGCCUCUCCCACAUCGGGUCCAAUUACGAGUACUUCUUAAACUUUUAACCCAAUACUUUAUAAUUCGACCCAACUCAAUUUUUUUCUAUUCCCCAAAAUAAACAUCUCAAUUUAUUUCCAAUUAAAUAAUCUUCUCAACCCAAUUCUAAUUCUGUUAAAAUCAUGACGACUUUAUUGUAAAAGAAUCUAUGAGAAUAUAUUUAAUAUUUCUACAUUCAACGAGUUUAUUAUGACCAAAUGAUUUAUUUCUAUUUUCUAACUUCAUUUAAUUUGAAAACCAUAAAUUUAUUUUCAGGUCAUUUUCAUUUUUCAUUUUCAUUUUGAAUAAAACCACAUUCAUUUUCAAAUGUUUUCGAUUUCUCCAUUUUCACCAUUUCUAUUCAUUUAAUUGGCAUAGUGCCUAAAAUAGCCCCUAAUGUUUGACUGUUUGGUCACUUUAGCCCUUUAUGUUUUUUCUUGGAGCACUUUAACACCUAAUGUUUUUUGGUCAGAUUGAUCUAUUUUUAACAGACAUACUGACGUGGUCGUUAGUUGAUUAAUGAUCAAUAUUAACUACUGAUGUGGUGGUCCAAAUGUAAUUAAAUGCUAAUGUGGCACUAUUUUGUCUUAUAUGCCACGUCAGCAACUGAUUUUAAAAUUAUUAAAAUUAUUUUAAAAUCAUUACCAUUUCAUCUCUAUUUUUUCUUUCCAUCGUUCACCGUUCCCACUUCUUUAUUGUGAAGUUUCUAGGUUUGAUUAGUGAAUAGAUCUGGGGGCCAACUUAGGAUAAAAAAACUUAUUAAAGCUUAAUUUAACUGUUGUAUAUAUUUUUUUCUUGAAUUGCUUUUGUGUCGAUUACUGUUUUGUGUUAUAUUUUCCACCUGCAUUUGUGGUGUGUUUUUAAUCUUUACCAAAUUCCAAACCUUUAAAAUUUGAAGCUCCAAGUUGAGUUCCAGAAAUGCUCACAUUUAGAUACUGGAAGAAUCUAGAAAAAGAAAAAAGAAAAGAAAAAUCAGAUUUUGAACUUUUAACUAUGGGUGUUGGUAACAAACCCUAGAACCCAAAAUGAGAGUAAGAAAAGAAAUGAGAUCUAACCUUGAAAUUAUGAAAUUGGGCCUUGUGAGUAGCAGAUUUAGAUGUUAUGAACAUGAUGAGUUGAGAAAUUUCGAUCAACAAGUUAAGGGAAAAAAUGGAGUGAAGGAAAAUGUGGACGAGGCUUAACAGAUCUAGCUUUGUAAUCAUAAAUUUGUAAGAUUCCUUUUAAGUGGCAUAUAUAGCUACUUACUUGCUUAUAUGGUUGGGCAUCAUCGUUUUGAUAAUGAAAUUUUGAAGUUAUAUAGACGAUUGUCUCAAAAGAUUAGAUGGGGAAAUAUUGUUCCAUCCAAAAGCAAUGGUAAAGAAUGAUGAGCUUGAGGAUAGACAUUAAACUAGUUGUGAGCAAUGGUGUUAAAUUAUCAGACAGUUGGGUAGUUGAUGAAGCAGCAGCAAAGCUACAAAUUUGAAUGAUUGGAGAUAGAGAAGUAUGCAAUUUAAGGGAUACAUUUUGGGCCUAGAAAGAAAAAAUGGAGAAGAAGAAACGGUGAUGAUGAUGAUGGUUUUAAAAUAAUUUAAAUAAUUUUAAAAUCAUUUUCUAACGUGAAAUAUAAGAUAAAAUAGUAUCAUGUUAGCAUUUAAUUACAUUUGGACCUCCACGUUAGUGGUUAAUGUUUAUUGUUAGUCAACUAACGACCAAGUCAACAUGUUAGUUAAAAAUAGAUAAAUUUGACCAAAAAAACACAUUAGGUGUUAAAGUGCUCCAAAAAAACAUAAAGAGCCAAAAUGACCAAACAAUUAAACGUUAGGGGUUAUUUUUGGCAUUAUGCCCAUUUAAUUCAACAUGCAAUUCAUUUUUGGUUUCAAUGAGCUAGCGGAGGGACUGAUUGGACAUAUGCAAUUAAGGCGCAAAUGAUUUAUAAAUAAGUUCCAGCUUUUUGCCUUUUAAUUAUAAACUCAUUUAGUCAUGAAGUCAUUCCACUAUAGUAUCGUGAUUGAGUUCACUCCAACAGCAUACCAUUACGAAAGUAACUUGAUUAGUACUCGUCCAAUAACCUUAUCAUAAGUGUGUUACCCUCAUAGGAUAUCCUUAAUCUCUUUGGGAUAAUAUUUGUUCUCCCAAUAUGAUCAUAUUUUAUCUCAUGGUAACCAUUAUAUUUUCCUUCACGAAAAGUCAAUUACUAUCAAAUAGUAAUCAAGUCAUUCCUCAUAAAGACGAACGAUUCGUGGCCACGUUUACUUUUCAUCAGUGAUGUAAUGCCAAUGAGAAUAUAUCAUUUACCAAUGUCUCUGGUUAUGAAUUUCACUAUUGUGAAUGACACUACAUACUACAAAACUCAUUUAAUAAGUACAAUAACUGAAAGAAAAUACCAAAACUGAUAAAUAAAACUCAUUUAAACAGUAAAGUUUAAGGACUAAUCAUAAAUUUAGUAAAACUUUUUUUGUAAAAUUGAGAGUAAAAUUAUGGAAUUAACCAUAUAAGACUUAAUCAUGCAAAUUUUUAAGUCAUUCCAUAGCAUUUAAGGACUCCAAUUGAAAAGAUAACAAAACAUGUCCAAAAUUUACAUAUGACACAUUGACACCUAUCCACACAUACUAUUUUGUGUUUCCAUGCCAAUUUUCAUAUUCUAACAUAUCAUAUAACAUAUAUAGGUCAUACAAAUCAUACUCAAUUACACUAAAACAUACUUUAACACUUUAACCAGUUAGCUAUACUAGCAUGCAAUCCUAAAGUCACAACUCAUAUUACUUAACAUCUCAAUUUUGCAUCUCAUAAAUUUCUAAGUGUAAGUGUAUUAUAGGUUCAUACCUGACCUAUUUGGUCAUUUUAAGCUUGCCUCAAUGAUCAACAAGUCAUUCAAGCAUUUAUAAAAAUAAUUCAUUAAGCACAUGCAUAUCAUCCAUCAUGCAACCAAAAUUUAACAAUCAUGCAUAUUCAAGCUUACCUAUUUGGAAUGUGACAUUCCAAGAAAUAAUAAUCUUAUGUUCAAACUCGACAUUCCAAGAGAUAAUAAUCUUAUGUUCAAACUCUACUAAAUGUGAUUUGUAAAAUUUUAAAAUUUCUAAUAUUCUUUAAAAAUUUUAUUAAAUUUUAGUAUUUUCAUUUUAUUAAUUUUUAAUUUUUAAUUAUUAAUAAGUGUGUAAAUUUUUAAACAUUUUUUAAAUUUAUAAAUUUUAUAUUUUUACUAAAUUUAUUUUUUCUAUUUUUUAAUAGUUUUGCAAAUUUUUAAUUAAUUCUUUGUAAUUUUUAUAAUUUUAUAAAUUUUAAAUAUAUUUUUUUUAUUUUUUGUAUGUACUUUUUAGGUUUUUUGGAUGACGACUACAUAGUAACAUAAUUGUAUGACACAUGAUAGCAUAUGAUUGGUUGACUGAUUUUUUUAAUGUCCAAAGGACUGAAUCAAGAAUAUAUGAUAAUGUUAAGGACUAAACUGAGAACAUCUGAUAAAAUUAAGGAUUAAAGUGUUGAUUAAGCAUUCUGAAUUUGGAAGAAACUUAAAAGCUUCACGCAGCACGCUUCACCAACGACUGAGUUUUGAGUUUGUUGAUAUAAAUACACUUUAUUAUUUAUAAAUAAAAAAUUUAAGUUCUACCACGUGCGAUGGACAUUCUGUACCGGUUUCCUAAUUGCUCCCGUACGGAUGUAUGGGGAGUUGGUAAAGACUAGGACUUGCAAUCUAUCUCCUUUAGACUGCUUCCCUAGCCCUUCUUGUUUACUUUUUAUUAUUGUUAUCUAGAAACAACUAGAUUUAACCUUCAUUCUUUGGUAACAAUUUUACGUUUCAUCUCUGUUGAAAAUAUGAGUCUUUAAAAGAGAUGUGGGCAUGGAAAUUACAGUUUGAACUCAUAUUCAUAGCAUAACAGGGUGGGGUGGGAUUUCUUGGUGUCUUGACAAAAUAUGGGUUAAUUAGGAAAUCCAUUUAAUAAUUAACUUAUUGAUAAGUUGAAGGAGUCAAGAAAGGCUUUAAUUACGUACAAAUCCAAAUUCCAUUUUCAUGAAUUUGACAGCUAACGCAGUAAUUGUUUACUGUGGUAAUCAUAAAUUAUGAUUUUGGUCCCAAAAAGAAAAGCCAUAUUAGAUCUAAUCACACGAUUAGCCUAUUUAAUCUUUUUUUUUUUGAAUAAAUUUAGUCUAUGCUUUGGCACAGUUUUCAAUAACUACUGGGGAUUAUUUCUUAGGUGUCAAUUUUGGCUUUCUUUCUUCAAAAGAUACCAAUAAUUGAAAAUUGAACACAACUUCCUAUUAAUUUUCCCCUUUAUUUUUCCUUAGUUGUCAAUCUUGGCUUGUAAUUAAAAGAUGCAGUAAAUAUAAAGCUUAAAUUAAUGAAAAGUGUGUUAUACCCAAAACAAAACAAAUAUUGUUAAAUUAGUUUUACGCUUUUAGUAUUUUUGUUAUAUUACUAAUAUUUUAAUAAUCAAACUUUCAUAUAAUAUUAAUAUAUCGAUAUGAUCCAGAUCUCAUGUUGGUUCAAAUUUUUAUAUAUAUGAUAAGUACAAUUAUAUUAAUAAUUUCAAUUGUUAAGUAAGUAAAAUAUUAAUUUUAUAAAAAAAAUAUAAAACUAUUUUAAUUUUACAUUAGUAUAAAUGGAUCUCACUUUAUUAACAUGUUUUAAUUUAAUGGUAAUAUUUAAAUUUUUAGAAUUUUGAAAUUUUAUUUUCAAAUCCAACUAUUUCAUUCCAAAUUCUUUGUGGUUUAUAAAUCUAUCCAAAUUAUUUUUUAUAUAUAGAUAAAAUAUAAUUCAGUUAUAAUAUUUAAUAUUGGUUGUAGUUAUUUAAAUAUACUACUUCUAAUUAUGAUUGUAAUUACAAUAUCUAAAAAAUUAUAAUAGUAGAAAAAAAUAUCAUCCUAAAUAUUUAUAUUAUUAAUAGGGCAAACUUUACAAAUGGUCACUCAACUAUGUCCGUAUUUCUGUUUUGAUCAUCCAAUUUUAAAAUAUUUCAAUUUAGGCACUAACAUUUGAAUUUGUUCCUGUUUUGAUCACCCAUAGUGAAAUUUGUAAUGGAAAGCCUUUUUUCUAACUAGUAUACUAAUACAUUUCAUCCACAAUACUUACAUAUUAUACCAAUUUGAGUCUAAUUCUAAAUAAUUCAAUAAAUUUUAUCUUUCACAUUUACAAAUUCUAUUAAUUUGAUUCUCAAACUUCCUAACCAAAGCUUUUAGUUAUUUAAAACAGAGGCAUUCUACAUCUAUAAAUUUGUAAACACCCCCACCAAAAAAAUCCAAUAAAACAAAUGGUAAGAAGCUCUAUAUUGGCAUCAAAGUAACCCAAUAAAACUUUUUUUUUUCUAAUUUACAAUUCUCAAACUUAAAAUUUUAUAUAUUAAUUUUUUUUAUCACUUAACCCAAUAAGUAAAUGAUUUGUAAGCAAUACAAUGGACAUCCCAAGAAAACAAAGACACCCUUUUAUAUCCCAUGCAAUAAAAUUUACUCAUGCAAUGCAUGGAUUAGAUGUUGUGUAUCAAUUAAAAUAUAUUUAAUCAUUUUGCAAUUUAUAGUUGUGAGUUUCAAGUGUUCUUUUAAGGAUAAACUAUACUGGUAGUUAUCCAACUAUUAAUAAAUUAAAAAUAAUUUAAUUUUUAAGGAGCAUACUUGAAUUCAAAAUUUAAAAUUUAAACUAUGCAAAUAAAAUGUUUUUGAAAUAGAUUAAGAAAAAUUAAACUUUUAAAAAGUUAAAACAAGUUUAUAAAAAAUUUAAACAAAUUUUAGAAAUACUUUUUAAAAAAAUAUAUAAAAUGUUUAUUACAAAUAGAUUUCAUAAAUAAAAAAUUAAUAGAUUUUAUAAACACUUUUUCAUAUAUGUUUAAUCUAAGAAAUUAUAUAUACCAUAUACAUAUAAUAAUGAUUUAAGACAUUAAUUUUAUCAAAUAAGACACUGAAUUACAAAAUAUAUAAAAUUAUUUAAACUUAAUUAGGAUAUCAAUUGUAAAAUUUAUACAAAAUCAUAAAAUAUAUUUAAUAUAUUUUUAAUUGAUAUAUAAAAUCAAAUUCAUGUAUCAAUUAAUUGAUAUAUUUAACUAUUAAGAUAAAUUGUAUGAGCUAGAUGUGUGUAUCAAUUAAAUUUAUUUUGGCAAUUUUACAAAUUUAUAGAUGUGGAAUGUUCCUAUUUUAAAUGUUGAAAGUUUUGGUUAGGAAGCUUGAUGAUCAAAUUGAUUGAAUUUGUAAAUAUGAAAGGUUAAAUUUAUAGAAUUAUUUAGAGUUAGGAUCAAAUUAAUAGAAUAUGUGUUAUUUUACCAUUUAGAAAAAUGCUUCCUGUUAUCAAAUUAAUGAUGGACGACCAAAACAUGAACAAAUCCAAACGUUAAUGCUUAAAUUAAAAAAAAAUGAAGCUGAGUGGCCAAAACAGAAAUACAAACAUAAUUAAGUAGCUAUUUGUAGAAUUUACCCUUAUUAAUAAUAAAAAGAGUUGAGGUUAAAUUAAGGUGCAGGAAAUAAAAUUUCAUACCCAAGGCUUGAUUUGUAUUUUAAAUGCAUCUUAUUUUUGGUCAGUGAAUAAUGUAAUAUUUUUGAGUCCUGCCGCCCAUGUCUUGUUCCUUUCUUUUGGGCAGUAAACCCUUAGUGCUUCCAACCUGGGGUAAUGUUGAAGAAUUCGACUGUAAAAAUCAUUCCUAUUUCUGAAAAACCAAAAACUGUAAAAUUGUUCUAACAGUAUUUUAAUAGAAAAGACUAAAUUAUUCUUUAAUUUAACUAAUUUAUUUAUAUUUUAAAUAUAAAAAAUAAAAUAUAAUCCAACUCUUAUUAUAAAAAUAUUUAUGACACUUUUAUCUUAGAUCUUAUUUUUAUUAAAAAUAAAAAAAAUCUGGUGCCAAUUGGGGUUCUAUUAUUUGGUAAAUAGAUCAAAUGUUUGGUAGGUAAACCUUUAUUUAAUUUUCGAUAAAUGCCCACCGACAGAGAAACGAUGGUAAACUUUGACUAAUCAAACUGUUGUUAUCAAUUUCAUUGAUAAGUGUUUGACUAAUUAAACUGUUGCUGUCAUGGAAUCCAAUUAUUUUUAUUGAAAAAAUUGAGCUGCUAUUUUCUUUUAACGUGGGGAUAAAGGAAUAAAAACUCCAACCUAUAAUUUAUCAUCAAUAAAUAUAAUUUUUCUCCAUAAAACAGAUGGAAUUGAUUAUUAUGAAAAGUGAUUCCAACUAUUCUGCACUAGGCUAACCCAUAGAAAUAUCAGUUACUCUUAUCGAAUGUAUAUUUUUUCUAUGAAAAUAAAUAAAAAGAAGGUAAUUUCGUGAAUUUCAAAAUGGAAAAAACUUAUAUCACACAUAAAUUUACUUUUAGUUUAUAUCUAAAAGAUGAUAUUAUUAAGAGUAAGAGUCAUUUUCAUAAAUUAUAAAUUUAAAAUGAAAAGGUACAACAUGGUUAAGCAGCAGGUAUUUUCAACCCUACAGCUUUUGAUAACGUUGCAAUAGCACUCUUAAAAAAAUAACAAAUAUGUUUGUCAUUUUAUGACACCAACAUGUUAUUUGUCAUUCUUCUGACCAGCAAGUUAUCAAACAAUUAACCAAAGCCGGAGUAACAUUUUUUAAUAGGUUAAUAUUUUAUAAUUCCGUUUAUUUUUUAUUUAAAAUUCAGUGUUAAUAAUAUAUAAAUAUUGAUAUAAAAUAAUAUUUUAAGCAAAUAUUCCUUUCGAAAUUCGAAUUCAACUUUUAAGAAACCUCUCUCUCUCUCUUUCUUGCUCAUCGAAAACCAUACACAUUGAGAAUUUCCAUGUUUAUUAUUAUUUUUCCAAGUUUUAUUAUUCAAUAUUGAUUUAGAGUGCGUACAAAUUUGAGUAAAGAAUAUUUAUUAUCUAAAUUUAUUUUAAUUUUUUAUAAUUAACAAAAUUCAAGUUAAUAUAUUCAAACUGGAUAACUAUUUAUAUAUUUAAAAUAAUUAUUUAAUUUUAUUUUUUGAAAAUAAUUUAAUAAAUUUUUGCAACACUCCAAAAUACAUAGGGUUAGAAAUUUAAUUAAUCGCCAACAAAUAAUUUAGUUUUGAUCGUUAUGUAGUUAGAAAAGUCUUUAAAAAAUCCUGGGUUUAAACUCUUUCUUCCCAAUUUCUUUCAUUUUUUUUUCAACAACUAAGGAACAAAAUUAAUCUAGUAUAGAUAUUAAAUGUGGUAGAAAAAUGUGAAGCAUGGAUAGUAGCCUAAUGAUUAAGCACUCUUUUUAUCCCUUACAUCCCUAGUUCAAAGUCACACCACUGUCCCUUCUCAUUUCUUUUUUGGAAGGCAAGAAAGGCAAUUUUCCCAAUCAAUCCUUUAAAAUUUGAAAACCUUAACUAUUUAAUCAUUUUUCCAAAUCAAAAUAAAACUCUAGUUUCCCUUUUCCAAUUGAACAAGGGUUUUAUUUUCUUUUUCCCUAUUUCUUCCCUUUUUCUUUUUCAUCUUCCCUUCUUCAAUUAUUUUCUUUACAUUGAUAGAAAUUUUAUUUUGAUCCUAAGUUUCAAAUCGAGCCUCAUUCAACCAAUCUUCUAAUCAAUUUAGUGUAACAUCAUUGAAUCUAGUAUUAAAUGUUGCCAAGAAUCGAUAAGAACAUCUCAAUUUCAACAUUUAGAUAUCACAAUGCCCAUAGGUUCUAUUUUCAUUAAUUUCGUUAAUACCCGAAAUCUUAUUUUUCCUUGAAGAUCGUUAUUAAUCUUUGCAUAUUUUUCGGUUGAAAGACUCGUUAUAGGUAUUCUAGAUCAAACUUGUAUGUAAGGAUUGCCGUUCAAAACCUCAAAAGUCAAAUGUGUAUUUUUUCACAAGAAAGUCAAGGCAAAAUUGAGCUUAGGAUAGACCAUAUGACUAGCCACACGGGUGUGUGGGCCGUCCGUGUGGACCGCACGACCACUAUACCUGGCAAUAUCCCCCUUGAAACCCUAGAUUUUUGCUUCUCACACGGCUUAGGACAUCCCACACAGCCUGCUACAAGAUCGUGUAACCUCUGUAGGUUGUAGUUUCAAAUGCCACACGACCACAGUCUCUCACACGGCCUAACCACAUGACCGUGUACCCCCUUCACACGAUCCAGGGGUUCCCGCACAGUCUCGUCACACGGCCGUGUGUCUUUUGUAACUCAGAAUUUAUAGUUUUGACCCAAAAUUUCCUAUUUUGAUUAGAUUAGUCAUUGAAUAUGUUAUGAACUACUUUUAGUGAAUUAAAUUAUGCAAUUAGGUCCAUGAUGAUAAGAAAUAUGCUAGAAUUCAAGAUUAAUUGAUUUAUUGCAAUAUUUUAUUUAUAUUUAUGAAUAUUUGCAUGAGAUAUGAAUAAGUUAUGUUACUGUUGAAUCUAUACUUGCAAAUGUAUGUACAACAUGCACUAUGAUAUUGUUAACCCAAAUACCUAAUAAAAUCGUGACUAUGUUACUGAUUUUCCAUGUGCUAGAACAUUAGAUACUAUCAUAUUUUGUUUGUAGUCAAUAUUUCAUAAUGUAUUGCAUGGGUUUGGACGAUACGUAUAAAGGAAAAUUAGACAAUCUUUUUGCAAGAAAAAUGGCGAUGUAAGUGACAACCAUGCUACAGUUCUUAUUUACAAAUUGUUGUGUAUCAAAAAUAAAAUGCUGAUUUCGACGACGAGUUUAUAUUGUAAAAUCUACAGCCAAAAAACAGGUUUCAUCUACAAGACUUUUGCUGUGAACCCACAACCAAAGAUGGAUUCUAACCACGGGGACUUGUUGUGUGUCUACAGCUUAAUGACAGUUAUUAUUUGUGAACCAGAAGUUGUUUAUCCAUAUAUCGAAAUGUUGGAGAAGGGAGUUCUGAGGAAAUCUUAUUAUGGUGUGUAGCGAUGGGGUAGGAUUUAUUCUGUUUAAACUCGAAAUUAUAUGGCAUCAUUUAAAUCAUGUGCAUACAAAUCUAAAAAUUAUUUUAUAAAUACAUAGGCGUGAAUAUAUAUAUGUACAUGAUUAUGAUUAUUGUGGGAAAAUCUGAGAAUUUUGGUUAAUUCUAAAAAUUGUUAUUGUGAGUUCUGGCAUAUUAAUGAUGUCAUGAGGUUACUUUUGUUCGGACGUACUAAUAACCGGUCAACUAAUUGCAAGGUUACUUCCGUUUCCUUAAGCUCUCCCAAACUUAGCCUCCUAUAAAUGAACAAUGGCAUGAGGUUGAUAAUGGCACCUAGGUUACGCAGGGUUUUCCCGAAACUCACUCCACCUAUUUCAACCGGAAUGGUAAAGCUACCAGGAUCCUUUAGUUUGGGCGGGACUCUUCUAGAUACCACCACACUUUUUUUUUUGUUAAGUGUAAUUUGCUCUUUUCUCCCUAUUUUCUUUCGAUGAAACAUAACUUCCCUAAAGAACUUGGUAUAUUUUGGCAUUUUCUUAAGGAUUUCAAAUAAGGAGAGGUUCAUGUUCAAAGAUUUAAACAUCUUGAGAAUGUCUAUGAACUUCUCAUCAUCCCUCUUCUUCCUCUCCUCUAAGCGACUAAAAAAGGGUACAGACCUUGGGGUAGGUGGUGGUGGAA